GAAAGGAGACAUAGAGGAGAGGGUGGGAGGGUUUCUGGGUGGGGAGGUGUGACUCCUCCUAGCGGGGAGUUGGAGAGGUUUGUGGCUCCGAGCGUGUGUAUGAGUUUGAGUGUGAGCGCUUGGUGCUUGGUGCUGAGAAGCGUGGCCGGGAUUCUAUAACCCAGUUAACCUUGAGAGGGGAAGUAAAUGACCUUGACAUUUCAGCAAAGACUUCCUGAGCCCCCAAGCCUAUUCCGUUAUUUUCUCUGUCUUCUCUCCCCGCUUUACACAGCAAUUUGUGCAUUAAUGCAACAAAUACGUAUUUGCAUGCCUACAGUAAUGUCAGACCCGGUUCUUAGGCACUGUAGUUGCUGCAGAGACCAAGACAAUUACGGCCCGUACGUUCAUGGAGCUUACAUUCUAAGAAAAAGAGACAUACAGAAGUUAACAAAAAUAAGAUGCUUCCACAUAGGCGGCUUUUUCUGUGCUAAAAAUCUGACUACUCCCUUGGAGCCAACAAGAAUGAAUUAAGAAAGAAGCUCCGCUUCUAUACAUCCUUUGGUUUAUUACGUAAUUAAAAGAAGACACUCCUGAGUUGUUUCGAAACAGAUGAUGUUUCUGUAUGUCAGAGCGUUCUCCUGAUUUUAAGCCUAAAGAUGUUGAGUAGAAAAGUAUGGUGUUAAAGAACUCCACCACCAAGACAUGUGGCCUUUGAUGAGACCUUUCAGUGAAUGAACUCCUACUUGAUAAUUGAAGGAAGAUAUAUCAGAGUCCAUCAGCGUGGUACAGAAGAGAACAGAAGAGCUUUUCUUACACAUUCUGCCAGGUAAUUGGUGUCAUUACCUGUGCGUAUCUGAACUGGUAUCUCUGUAUCUAGGCCACCCUUGAACCAAGAAUGGAUGGACUGCACAAAGCAAUAAAGGUUGGAAUUGUGUUGGUGGCAGAGCCUUCAGGGGUCACCACAUUUUAAUGUAUAGCCGUUUCGAGGAAAUUUAGUGCUUCAUGAAGAAGUGCCAGAUUGACUUAAAAUCAAGCAGCAAUCAGGUGAGACAACCACUGAGAUAAAUGCAAAGAGAGAGAGAGUGAGAGGAGAGAGACAAAAAAAAUUCCCAGGGAUUCAUGAAUACUAAUUAGGGAAAGACCAGCACACAUAUUAUUCAUGUCUCCUUGGAGUCUGAGUCUAGAUUCUAAUUCAACAAUAAGAUUUUGAUGACUUGGCCCAGCAGUGAUUUCAGUUAAUGUGGAUUCCACACUUACAUCAGCUUGGCUACGAAAAGGCAUUUUCAUCCCCUCGCAUAUAGUAAGAAUGAAGAUAAAUGGUAUUAAGAAUGGGACUGGAUACUGUGUUUUUCCAAAGACAAAAGAAAGUAAGAAUAUGUAAAAUGCCUCUCUAGCAAACAAGAGCCUGUCUAGCCUAAUAUUCUGUUUGUGUUCAUUCCUUAUAGAUGUUAUCUUUCUUUCAGCUGCUGUAGCAUACUGGUAUGAUAUCUUUGGGAAACAUUCUGCAGUGAUUCAGAGAGCGAUGAAUUUUAACAUUUCAUAUGGAUUUAUUAAAUAAAUGCAUUAUCUUCUACUUACUGCAUUGAAAUACAGCAUUUCAUGAAAUGUUCUUAUUGUUUAUGAGGCCAGUUUGACAUUUCACAAUCUCUUAGAAAUUUACUGUCUUUAGCAAAUGUCAAAAGGAAGAAUCUUGAGUUUAGGAAAGAAAACAUUUGCCUUGCUCAGUUCUCUAGGCCAGUGGUCCCCAACCUUUUGGCACCAGGGACCAGUUUUAUGGAAAACAAUUUUUCCAGAGACUGGGGGGUGGGGUGGCAGAGGAAUGGUUUUGGGAUGAUUCAAGUGCAUUACAUUUAUUGUGCACUUUAUUUCGGUUAUUAUUACAUUGUCAUAUGUAAUGAAAUAAUUAUACAAUUUGCAGCAAUGUAGAAUCAGUAGAAGCCCUGAGCUUGUUUUGCUAUAGCUAGACAGUCUCAUCUGGGGGUGAUGGGAGAUGGUGACAGAUCAUCAGGCAUUAGGUUCUCAUAAGGAGCAUGCAACCCAGAUCCCUUGUGUGUGCGGUUCACAAUAGAGUUUGUGCUCCUGUGAGAAUCUAAUGCCGCAGCUGGUCUGACGGGAGGCAGAGCUCGGGUGGUAAUGUGAGUGAUGGGGAGCAGCUAUACAUACAGAGGAAGCUUCUCCUACUUACCUGCUGCUUACCUCCUGCUGUGUGGUCCAGGUCUUAACAGGCCAUGGACUAGUAUUAGUCGAUGACCCAGGGGUUGGGCACCUCCACCCUAGGCCAGCCACCAUCUUAGGUACUUGAGGCCUUUUUCUUGGGAUCUAUGACUAGAGGAUAUUAGCUGCUAUGUAACCAUCCCUCUUAUGACAAUUCUGGUUACUUCUCCAAGGAAGAUCAAGAAUAUUUUGCAACUGGUCUACAUUGUGUAUUAACUCUUUCCAGAAACUUCUACUAGGCUCAUGCUUAUGCCCUUGUGUUCUCUUUAGCCAACAGAGACAUACGGUGUCACUUAUUUCAAAGUGAUAAUAUCCCUUUGCAGUGGUUUUUAUUGUGCAGUGGAUCAGAUGAACUGCGCUUCUCACUGUGUAAGUUAAUAGAAAUUGUCCAUGAACUUGAAAAAUAAAAUUAAGUAUGUGUUUUGGGUUGGAUUUCUAUGCCACCAUUUAAUGAAAAGUUGUGUUUACUCUUUCUUCUUUCAAAAAAUGCUGUUACUCAUUUUCAAUUGUCAAGAAACAGCAAGCACAGAAAUGGUAAUUUUCACUAUGUCUGAAAUAUAACAUGGCCAGACAGGCCAAAUUACAGAAAAUCAAUUAGUUUCUGUUACAAGAGUCAUGUAUCUGAGGUCUUGUUCUGUUUCUGGUUACUGUAGCUAACGUCUGCUUCUCUCCAAAGGAAUUCUCAGGAGAAAAUCAACCAAAGACUUUUUUUCUAGGGCAAAAACCUAUAGGACCUAGACAUUUCAUCUUUGUCAAUUAAAAUAGAGACAGAAAUAAAUUUCUUCCUUGAAUCACUUCCUCUCUUCCUGUACUUUUAACCCACAAACUCUUGAAGAGAGUUAUCAUUGAGUUUCUGAGGCCUAAAAUUUCCAAAUGCUACUUCUGUAUUACAGUCUCUAUGCCUUUUUAUAUAAGGUAAAGACCACACUGCUUCUCAAGCAUGUAGUUUCACAUAAAUCUGAUCUGUGUCAUGAACUCUUCUCUUGAUCUAAAUCAACUAACAAAUUCAGCUGGACAAAUAUACCUAGGCCCAAAGUUUUUAUUAUUCAUAAUGUUCCUGUUUCAUAGAUUUACAGUUACACAUGGGUUCUGGCAAGAAAACACUGCUCCCAAAUUUCCUUGCUUUUCUCUUUUAUAUGCUUUUAAGGGGAGAGCUUUUGUUGCAAAGAUUCAUUUUGGUGUCAGAUAACUUCUUGAGUUACACCUAGGGAAACCCAAGAAAUCUAAAAAUAGGAACAACAAUUUUUUUUGUAAAGAUAAACAACAUUAAUUACUGGCUUCAGGAUAUUACUGAUUCCAUCUUCCUCAUUAUAGAACGGGGCAGCCAUAAUCAAGAAAAUCUUCAAUUAACAUUAAAGAUUGCACUCGUACUAAACUCACACUGAAAGCACAGAUGUAGAAGGAUUGUUUGAAAGCGUUGUUAAGAAACAUAAAACUUGUGGUAAGCCAAGUUAUAACUCUAGUGUUAUCUAGGGCUUAUAAUUAAUUUUUUGAAAAGCAAAACACUUUUAAAAAUAGUCUUGUACAUUGAAUACCAGCAUGCUGCUGCUUUUUGUAGAGGGAUUCCUGUAAAAUGCAAGUUUAUUUAUAGAUUGCAAGUGACUCAAAGAUGUUACAGUAUAAAAGAAAAUGAUACUCUAGAGUCUUUGUUUGGGGAUGUUAGGGACUAUCUUGGAAUAGUCAAUUCACUCAGAGGAUUGCUUUUAAUCUGAAGCAAAAGAAAUUUCAUCAACUGAAAUUGUUGGCCAGAUGGAAUUUCCUGAUUAAUUUUUUAGUGUUUGGUAUUAAACAUAAUUAUGAAAAGGGGAGUUCUGAGAGUAAACCCAAUUAACAUUUCAUAAAAUUUAUUGCUCUAAAUAUGGCUUACCCUUUAUUUUGUAUCUUCCCGGAUAACCUGCCUUUACCUUGAAAAAACCUAACUGGUGAACUUCCCUCCCUCCUUCCCUUGCAUUCCUUCUAUUUCUUUGCCAUUCAACUUCCUUCUCUUUUCUUAUGUGUAAGGGCUCUAUUCAUUGAGUCCUUAAAAGGCUACAGCACCCUUCCAGGGCUUACAUUGUCCUAUUCUUUUUGACCUUGGUAGAAAGAAUAUUUGUAACAGUAUGUAAUAUUAAGUCCUGGCCUGGUGCUAGAAUGGUGUCACUCUUGUCGUACAAGAGACUCUUAAUUCCAUCUGAAUCAUAGACUGGCACUUGAUAAAAUUAGUCUUUGUGAUGUUGAAAGUAAAGGUUGACAUUCUCCCUAUAUUUUCUUCUCCCGUUUAUCACUUUUCUAUGGCAGUUGGGUAGUCCCAUUGACACUCAAAAGAUAUAUAUUCAUUUAGAUAUGUGGGGAUUGGAGAAACAACUUUUUGAAAAUAAAAUUUGUCCUACCAGAUUGAGAUUUUUGGAGGGCAAGAACCAUAUCGUUCAUGAUUCAGUAUCCUUUCGGUUCUCAGGGCUACACCAGCUGUACUGGCCAUCAUCUACUCCCCACUCCUGGGAACUAUUUCCCCGUCCCCACUUAAACCCAUCCACAUGGCUAUGUUAGGGACUGCCAAGCUGAGUUAGGACUCCAUGCCAGGGCUGGCUACAUUAUUUGUGAAAUUCAAUGCAAAAUUAAAAUGCAAGAUCACGUGUUCAAAAAUUAUUAAGAAUUUCUAGAUGACAGCAGCAGAGCAUUAUACUAAACAUAAGACCCUUCUAAGCACAGGUCCCUGUGCAUCCACACAGGUUGCAUGCCCAGCUGUGCUGCCCUUCCCACCUCCUUCCUCCCACACCAACUAUGGUUUAUUGAGUCCUAGGGGAAGAAGAGAAUAUCAAUUCAGGUUAAACCAGAGACCUUUCUGGUUGAUUUGUUUGUACCAGAAAAGAAAAAAAUAAUUGUCCCAAUUGGAUAAAACUGGGGACCUAUCAGCUGGCUUGCUUUCAGCCAUGUGACAAAAGCAAUUGAUGGGCUGAACAUCAUUGUAUCUCAGACAUGUGCUGGCAAAUUUUGUACGUGCCCAAAUAUCAUCUACGGUACUAAUAGUUUGCUAGUCUUUCUGCUGACCCGCAACUUACUGUCCACUAGCUUUGAGGCUCUGGAAGCUAGAACAGAUAACCUCUUGAGGGUUUUCCAGUUCUGUAGUUCUCUGAGCCUCUGACCAGGUUCUACAAAACGAACCUAAUCUAUAGCCGUAUAUGUGUAAAAAUGCACAAGAGUGCUUGAUUAUUCAUUUUUCUUGGUUAAUGUUCAUGGAACAGUCAUUUGUUUACAUCUUCAUAGUGUAGUGACCACUGAGAUAAAAAACAAAAUGAAACAAUGAAGCAAAAAUAACCUGUCUUUUUAAGGCUAAUCAUCAGUCAAGGCAAUUCAUUAGCAUUCCAACUGCAAGGUGAUUCUGAGUGCUUCCUUAGGGGAAAACCACUUGACGUCUAGGUAAAGAGGACCUCAUUCCCCAGGGAACCUCCAUCUUCACAGUUUCAGUCUCUUUCUCCUUUUCCCAAUAGUACAACUCCCAACAAUUUUCUCGAAGAGGAUUUACAAACCACUGGUGAAUGAGUAAAGAUUGGCUCCUGGUAUACCUCUUGAUGGGCAUUCUUUAGGGAGCUAGCUUUAAAGGGCAACUUUUGGGGCAGAACACAGUGAAUUCUUAUAGACUAUCACCUGGUCUUUGGUAUUUUCUGAGUUUUUCGUAUCACCCGGUUAGACUCUUCAAGGGAAGAAAGAAGGAUCAAGGUAAAUCAAACACCUUAGAUGAAAUUCACAUUUAACAAGUGAUUACUUCCCAACUUGUACACAGAAACUUAGGAGGAAAUUAGUUGGGUUUAUUAUAUUAUGUCAAGUAUUUUAUAAUAGAAUGUAUACAGAUGGAAAUCUAUUCUAGCCAGGUGUGGUGGCUCACACCUGUAAUCUCAACACUUUGGGAGCUUGAGGCUGGUGGAUCAUUUGAGCUCAGAAGUUUGAGUCCAGCCUGAGCAACGUAGCGAAACCUCAUCUCUACAAAAAAUUUAAAAAUUAGCUGGGUGUGGAGGCUGAGGUGGGAAGAUCAUUUGAGCCCAGGCUGCGGAGGUUGCAGUGAGCUAAGAACGCACCACUGCACUUCAGUAUAAGAGACAGAGCAAGACCUUGUCUCAAAAAGCAAAACAAAACAAAAAGAAAUCUAUUCCAAUGAGAAAUGAAUAAUUCCUGAAUAUACACCUAAAAUUCAGGGUCAUAGAUGCAGAGUACUUAUUGCAGAACAACAUUUAGGCAAAUAAUUGUUCCUGUGAAGGUUUUUUUUUUUUUUUUUUUUUUUUGACACGGAGUCUCGCUCUGUUGUGCAGGCUGGAGUGCAGUGGCACGAUCUCGGCUCACUGCAACAUUUGUCUCCCGAGUUCUAGCAAGUCUCUGCCUCAGCCUCCCGAGUAGCUGGGAUUACAGGCACCUGCCACCAAGCCUGGCUAAUUUUUUUAAUUUUUAGUAGAGAUGGGGGUUUCACCAUUUUGGCCAGGCUGGUCUUGAACUCCUGACCUCAUGAACCACCUGCCUCAGCCUCCCAAAGUGCUGGGAUUACAGGCAUGAGCCAUGGUGCCCUGCCGAUUUUGUUUUUAAAAAUGUCACCUCUCUAUCAAUUUAUAGAUGAAGAUGCUGGAUCCCAGCAUGGUGAAAAUUUGUAUUUUCCCAAUGUGUAUCUAGAGCUAUCCAGACCUUUUUGUCUCUAAUCCUGGCUAGUUUAAUAUCCAGAGUCCUGCUUUUGUGCACUGCCUGAGGUAAGAAAUUUAUAUGUGUCAUGAUGACUUACUCUUACAUUAAUUUUUUUUUGUUUUUUCAGUUGAAUACAAUUUAGCCUUUUAUCUCCUAAGUAAAAACAGAAUAAAGCCAAGGUGAGAGGUGUUAAGACUGAAAGUGAGAGCAAGCCUGCAAAGACAGUCCCCAAGGGAAGGCUCUUCUACAAAUGUCCAGAAGAUUAUGUCCAUAUGUCUUUCUGGAACUUUUGCCAAGAUAGUCACAGGAUCAAAAUUACUUCUUCAUGGCCAUUAUGCAGUGUCACAUCUUACAGAGCCAAAGGAAUAAAUUCCAGACAUGCAGAACACACGUCCCCUCAGCCUCUCUCAGGCAGGCUGUCAACUGCAGCAUUAAUGCACAAAUCAAAAAAGGCAGCCAAAGCCUGAAGACUUUUCCUGCUAGCCUAUUCCUUACUGUCUGCCUUCCUAAUGCACUGGAGUGAAAAACCAACAGCCAGGCCCUUGUCCUUCACACUUUGUGCCCCCAUGCAGACACUCCCAGGCUAGAAAAAAAAAGGAGGGGAGGGAAGAGAAAACAGAGAGGAAAGAUUUUAUUAAGCAACAAAGAAGAAAAAAACCAUGUAUUCAGGAACCCUUUAGUAGAGGACCUACCACAAAAAUUUGACUUGUGCUCCUGUCCCUUAACUGGCAAGGAAAGCAUACUCGAAAUCCCACUCCUCCUUCUUCUCAGUGUCCCUCUCUUUAUCUUCCUCCCUGAUGGUCUGUCCUCCACAGCUGAAUGCUUCUGAGUGUUUUCACUCUUAGAAACAGUAUGAUUCCUGUCAAACCACAGCUUAAACUUUACAGAAAAGCUCUUGAGCUUUCAUUCCUGUAACCAAGAUCAGUGAUCUGUCAUGUACAGUGGCAUUUCCAACUGACUGCUAGAAAUCUCCACCUUGAUGCCCUGCCAGCACCUUGAAAUUGACACGUCCACAAUCUCAGCAUCUUCCCUCCUGAAAUGUUCCUUCCCUGGGCGUGUGUGUGUGUGUGUGUGUGUGUGUGUGUGUGUUAAUGACAAAUCACUCUCUCAGUCAUUCCAACCUCAAACUUUGAAAUUAUAUCUGAUUACUCAGUGGUACUGUCACAUGUGUUUGGUGAUCACCAGGUUUCUUGAAUGGGUGACUGAGUGGAGGUGAUGCCACCAUGGAAAAAUAAGCAGAUGUGUGGAAGAUGAUAUUAAUUGCAAUUUUGGACAUUGUGUUUGAGAUGUCAGUGAGACAGCGAAGUAGAUGUAUGGAGGGCUAGUGGAAAAAUACCAUUCUGAAAGCCAAGAAUUCUGGACUGAAAAGAUAAGUUUGAGAGUCAUCAGAUCAGCUAUAGCGAAGCCUAUGAGAGUGAUGGAGUAAUGGAGUUACCCAUGAUGGGGGUGGAGGGUGUAAUAUGUUUUAAAAGUUUUUAGUAUAUAUUUGUUUAUUUUUUCCUAGGAGCAAACAUGAAGUUCCUGAGUCAGAGGCAGAGUUAUUGUAACCAUGUGAGUUCCCCACAUCCCAUUCUCCCAUUUUAGGGUAAUGGAAUGACCAGAUGUCACCCUAAAUGUGCAGAGAAAUUUUUUCAUCACUGAAGAGGAACUCUAAAAUCAUGAAUCUGGAAACCAGUCACAAAGUUUUCUCUUAUGUUCUCUGCUAGACAGCUUAUAGUUUUAUGUUUUACAUUUUUGUCUAUAAUAUACAUGAGUUAAUUUUUGUAUGGUGUGAGGUAUGGAUCAAAGUUCUUUAAAAAAAAACCAUAGAUAUUCAGUUGUUCAGCAUCAUUUGAAGAAAAAACUAUCAUGUCUCCACUGAACUGCCUUAGCACCAUUGUAAAAAAAAAAAUCAGUUGUUUGUGUAUAGGUAGAUCUAUUUCUGGGCUCUCCAUUUGGUUCCAUUGAUUUAUGUGUCUGUCUUUACAUCAGUACAAUAGUGUGUUAACUAUUAUUGCUUUAUUCUAAGACUUGAUAUUUGUUAGUGUUUGUUCUCUAACUGCAUUGCUCAUUUUCUAAUUCAUUUUGGAUAUCCCUUGCAUUUCCAUGUAAAUUUUAGAAUCAACUUGCUAAUUUCUACCAAAAAAAAUACUGCUGGGAUUUUAAUUGAGAUUGCAUUGAAUCUAUAGAUUAAUUGAGCGAGAGCUGAUAUUUUAACAAUUUGAGUCUUGUUUAAUUUAUUGAGUUCUUUUCAUUGAGUUCUCUAAUUUCUCUCAGCAAUAUUUUGUAGUUUUGAGUAUGUGUCUUACACAAUUUUGUCAGAUUUAUCUCUAAUUUUACAAUUUUUGGUGCCAUUAUAAAUGACAUUGCUUUAAACUUUCAAUUUCUAAUUGUUUGUUAUGAGUUCAUAGAAAUACAGUUGAAUUUUUAUAUUGACACACAUUCCACAACCUUGCUGAAAACACUUAUUCACUCUUUAAGUUUUUGGUAGGUUCCAUCAGAUUUUCUGCGCAGACAAUCAUGUUGUCUUCAAAUAAAAUGAAUUCUACUUAUUCUGUAAAAGCUGAGAUGCAUUUUUCCUUGCUUUGUUGCACUGACUUGAACCUCCAGGACAAGGUUAAACAGAAAUGGUGAGAAUGCACAUUCUUACUUUGUUCUUAAUCUUAAGGGGAAGGUAUGUUUUUGUAUACUUACCUCUAUAGUUGCAGUUCUUGCACUCCUUGCUUCGUUGUAUAGAUAGAUAGAUAGAUAGAUAGAUAGAUAGAUAGAUAGAUAGAUAGAUAGAUCGAUCUCCAUUUGUUAUCGGUUGCUUUUUACCUAAAGAACUAACUUCCUUUAACAUUUCCUGUAUACGAAUCUGCUGUUGAAGGAUUAUUGUAGCAUUUGUAUGUGUAAAAUGUCUUUAUUCUGCCUUCAUUAUUAAAUGCUUUUGGUUUUGGUUGCAUGUAGAAUUCUAGGUUGACAGCUAGUUUGUCUUUACUUUUUUUAAAGUCAUUGCUCCAAUGUUUUCUUACUUUCACUGUUUCAGAACAGAAAUCAGCUGUAGUCCUUAUUAUUGUUCUUCUGUACAUAAUGUCUUUUCUUGGCUGCCUGUAGGAUUUUCUGUUUAUCACUGGCUUUAAGCAAUUUUAUUUGAUGCACCUUGUGCUUGAGAUUUGUUUGGCUCUUAUAUCUAUGGAUUUAUAGGUUUCUCCAAAUAUGGAAAAUUUUCAGCGAUUAUUUUGUCAAUGGCCUCCUCCUCCAUCCUGUUCCCUCAUGUUCUUCAGGGACUCCAAUUUCUUAUGUAUUAGGCUUUUUAAAGUUAUCCCAUAGCUUAAUGAGGCUUUUAAAAUUUUUUAAAUUUCUUUGCAUUUUUAUUUGAAUAGUUUCUAUUGCUAUAUCUUCAAGUCCACUAAUCUUUUUUGUUCUGCAAUGUUUCAUCUGUCAUGAGUACCAUAUAGUGUACUUUUCAUCUCAGAUAUGCCUUUCACAAUGUGAAGUCUGUGAAGGAAGAAGCACAUUCAUCACGUGGACAUUCAGGAUCCUAAAUAAGUUUUCCAAAGUGGGUAUUUGGGACUUCUCUUUGUGUAUUUCCUGACCCUCCCUAUUUUCAAUAUUAAUUUUAUCCAUGUUAUACACAGAUAGUUUAAUAAGUUAGAUAAAUUCUUAAGGUAUAUAUGUUAGUUAGAAUUAGUUUCAUCUGUAUUUAACAGAAACUCCAAAUAACAGGGUCUUAAAUAUAUAAAGCUUACUCAUUCAUAGUAAAAGCUGUUUCAUGCCAGUCAGACCAGGGCUCGUUUGGCAGUUCCUGAAGUUAUGAGAACCAUAGGCUCCUUCUACCUCUCUGUUUCUCCAUCCUUUGUUAAAUAAGCUCCAGCCACUCAUGUCUGCAUUCCAGGCAGCAGGAAGAUGAAAAGAGGGAAAGACAAAGUGGUGUGUCUAUCUGAUAACUUCUGCUUACAUCUCACUGGCCAGAAUAAAGUCCAUUGCCACAUCUAGCUGAAAGAGCAACUGAGAAGUAUGACUUUUUUGUCAGAGCCUACUGCUGUUAUGAGUAAAAUUGAAGUUUGUUUCUGAGAACAAAGGAAAGAAUGGUGGGCAUCCUUCUUAAGAAGAACUCCUGAGCCAUCUUCCAUCUCACCCUAAUGGGACUCCCUAGAGGCAACUGCUUUUAGGUCUUUUAACUGUUUUUCCUAGAAUUUAUUUCAUAUUCAGACAGCAACAACAUUGUGCUGCUGAUUCAUUAUUUCCUUAUUUUAAAUAGGAUAAAAUGAGGAUUUUGCCUCUCUUGUACCCUUAUUUCCAUACCACUUCUACUUCCCUUCACCCAUUUUUCCCAAAUAAUUGUCAUAAUUUUGUUUGCUCAAUGUCUAUAUUGUUAUGAUCAUGUUAAUAUUAUUCAAAGCUGGGUCAGGUAGUAUACUGUAAUUACAUAUUCCUAAAUUAAAAAUUUUUCAUUAAAUUAUUUUUUAUUUUCUUAGUUUUAUAUGUCUCUACUUUAUUCCUAAGCUUUUAAUUUAAGUAUAGAUCGCUUCUCAGUACAGUCAAAUUUGUCUACCAAUUUCAUCUUUGUUUGAGGGACAUGCUUCUAGAUCCCUUUGUUUCCUUUAGUUCUGACCUGGAAUAUGUGUUCUCUGGUCUUGAUAUGCAGCUGUCUUCCUGAGCAAUCCCAUCAUCACCAACCUGGGGACCCCCUUCACUCCUUGCAUGUGUUGGGUCUCCUAUUUGCUUGUUCCCAUCUUAUGUCUUCGUUCUUUGUUUGUUCUCUUGUUUGGGUAAGGCACAUUCUCUAGUAUCUUCCAGAGAAAGGACACAUUGAAAGUAACUAUUUUUGAAAUGUAUAUCUGAAAACUUCUUAAUUCUAGCCUCAUAUGUGAUUGAUAGUUUGGAUGGUUUUAGAAUUCUAGAUUGGAAAUAAUUUUCUCCAGACUUAAAAACAGAAUUUUUUCUCCUGGAUGUUUUAAGCCAUAGAAUUUUUCUUCAAUAGUGUUCCUUUUGAAAAGUGCAAUGUCAUUCUGCUUCCAGUCCUUUUAUAUUACCUGUUUUUUUUCCUCUUGGGAUGUUUUUAGAAUCUUGUUUUUAUUUCUAGUGUUCUCAAAUUUCCUAACAAUGUCAAUUUAUGUGGGUUUUGUUUUCAUGUACUAAGCUGGACAUUUUAUUGACCAACUUAAUCUAAAAAUGUAUAACUUUCAGUUCUGGAAACAAAUUUUGAAUUAUUUCCUUGGUAGUUUCUUCCUGUACGUUCUCUUUCCAGAGCUCCUGCUGUUUGGAUGUUGAGCCUCCUAGACUAUCUUUUCUGUCAAUAUCUUUGAUACUGUGGCUUUAUCUUUGUUUUAUGCAUUUCUGUCAUUUUCAUACAAUUUCAAGAAGUAGUGGUAAAUGCAUAUGCCCAGUCCUCUGCAUUUAACUGGAAUCCUCUGAUCUCUUUUCAGAUUCUUUAUUUCUGGUAAGUAAACUAUUGUAAAAAUCCAUAUGGCAUGUCUGAGAUGAACACCAGGUUUUUUUCCACUGGUCUGAUUCUCCCACUUAUCAAACUCUUCUUUAGGAUAUUUAUACAAAGUAGAAACAAAGGCAAGUAAAUGAAAAUAGAGCAGGACCAGGUGCAAGCCCCGUGGGCAUAUUAUCCACCCUCUCUGUUGCUAGGUUUACUCAUUUCAGAAAUGAAGGCCAAUAAUACCCACCUUUUAUAGCUCAGGCUUGUUGUGAUGAACAAAUGAGGGCAUGUAAAUGAAGAUUUUUGGAAAGAUAUGUAGUGGCAUAUAAAUGUGAAAGAUUAUAAUUUUCCAAAAGGAACAUAGAACCUUCUGAUGAAUGCUCAAUUAGAACAUGCUGUUGCUGUUUUCAGCCAAGGGAAAAAAUAAGGCAAGAAUCAGGUAAGAUAGUAGCAAGAUCAGUGGAAAGGAUGAUCACAGAGGAAGCUCUGGGCAGUGGAUGGAGUGGAGGCCUUUCAGACAGACAGACAGACAGACAGACAGACAGACAAGAUUCACACCCUGAUUCCAGGACUUACUAGACCGUCCGUAAAGUAUCCUUUUCUGCAAAAUGAAGAGAAUAAAACUUACCUUGUAGUGUUGCUUUAAGGAACAGACUUACAGAGACAAAAAUAAAUGUAAAGCUCGUGGUACAUAAAUGGCAUCCAAUAAAUACUAGCAACUAUCAGUGGUUAGGUUCACUGGCUCUGGAGCCAAGCUGCCUGGGUUCUGUCCCAUUCUGCCAUUUAUGGGUCAUGUGAUUUGGGGACAAAUGAUUCAACCUCCCUGUAUCUUUCUUCAUCUGUAAGAUGGGACAGUAACAUUAGCCACCUUACUGAGUGGUUGUGAAUAUAUGUUAGUUAAUGGAAAAUAUCUAGAAUGGAGCCCUGACACAUAAAAAUCACUGCUUAAUAAAAAUUAGCUAUUACGAUUGUUGUCAGCUUAUAAGCAAGGCAAGUAUUUCAACCAUGCAUUGAAUCAUCAUUCAGAGUCCAAAUAAAGUUGCAAUCUAAUUUGCGUGCUGUCUUAGUCUGUUUGGGCUGCUACAGCAAAAUACCUUAGACUGGGUAAUUUAUAAAUGAAGAUUUAUUGCUGACAGUUCUGGAGGCUUGGAAAUCUAAGAUCAAGGCACCAGAAGAUUCAGUGUCUGGUGAGGAUUCAUUCCUCAUAGAUGAUGCGUUCUGUGUGUCCUCACAUGGUAGAGGGGAUGAACAAGCUCCUUUGGGACCCUUUUAUAAAGGCACUAAUCCCAUCAUGAGGGUGGAACUCUCAUGACCUAAUCACCUCCCAAAGGCCCCACCUAUUAAUACCAUCACCUUUGGGGUUAGGUUUCAACACAUGGAUUUGGGGGGGAUGCAGUAAUUCACACCAGCCUGUGCUAUGGUACAUUUGCACAGAAUAAAAAAAUAGAAGUUACUUGUCCUAACGCCAGGUGGCUCAUUAUCUAAAGGGCCUCCAGUUCUGUGUUCCUGGUCCCAUAGGUCCUUAAACCAGGUCUAGGGUGAGAGCAUUUGAGAAUGUUCUGAUGUCAAGGCUCUGAGCCAAUUCCUGAUUCUGAUUCUGAUUCUGAUUCUGAAAAGGCCCUAAAUUGAAAAAAAAAAAACAAAAAAACAAUAAAGGGAAGAAAUAUGAACUAUCUCCAAAUCAGUCUUCCAGAUUUCAUGGGCAUCACCAAGUAGCUUCAGACACAAUGGCCUUUCCAUUGUUGCAAAAACUGAGCUCUUACAGAACUUAUUGAAUUUUGCCUUCCUGACUUCUGAUGUCCAAAUAUCAGCUGGCUACCCCACCCAGUGACUAUAAAGAUGGACUAUCAAGAUCUCCUAAGCCAGGGGUCCCAACCUCCAAGCCAGAGACUGGUACCAGUCUAUGGCCCAUUAGGAACCUGGCUUUACAACAGGAGGCUAGUGAACAUUACUGCCUGAGCUCCGCCUCCUGUCAGAUAAGCUGUGGCAUUAGGUUCUCAGGAACAUGAACCCUAUUGUAAACUGCGCAUGCAAGGUAUCUAGGUUGCACACUUCUUAUGAGACUCUACUGGCUGAUGAUCUGAGGUGGAACAGUUUCCUUCUGAAAGCAUCCCCCUGACAAAUCUCCAGCCCAGUCCGUGUAAAAUUUGUCUUCCACGAAAUGGGUCCCUGGUGCCAAAAAGGUUGGGGAUUGCUGUCCUAAGCUUCACCAGACUGCAGAGCUACUGAGUGCCUCCACACUGGGCUGUGAGCUCCACAGUCUGGCAUGGUUCCAAAUUUUAGGGAUGGCAGCAUUGCCCGAGCACUCAAUGACUAUUUUGUUGAAUGAACAACUAACUAAUCAGUGGGGGAGGAGGUAAUAUACUAAGUAUGUCUGUGUCCCUAGCAUAUCAUAUAUCUGCUAUAUCAAGGCAAUAUCUAUCUUAUGGUUUUGAAGGUAAUAUGAAGUGUUUGCUCCUCUGCCCUAAGCUCAUGGCACUUGCACUGUAGUGAGUGUAGCAUUUGUGCCUCCUUUAAGAAACUGUGAACCCCUCAAAGGCAGGGGUCUUAUUUUUGUUAUCUGUGUAAUUUGAGGAAUGGAUAAAUGAAUGAAUUUAUCAUUAAACAAAUAUUUGUUGAGCUCCAAGCAACAGUGCUCAAGACAGAUGAGGUCUGUGAGCGCAUGGAGCUUACAUUUUAGAAACAGAGACAAGCCAUAAAUGAAUAAAUGAACAAGGUAAUUUCAGACAGUGAGUGCAAAAGAAAAAACUCUCAUAAAUUCUAUCAAUGCAAACUUCUUGGCAUUUUCUUAUAAGGAAAACAUACUACAUAAUUUGACCCUGAGUGCCUUCUCUAUGCAACAGAUCUCUACAGAGGAAUGAAGGAUAGACUACAAGGAUUUAUCUAAAUUACUAAACUGUAAUGAUCUAGUUCUCCAAAAUGAGACAAGCAGCAGCAUUGCUUAAGUGUUUUAACUUGGCCUGCAAUUUGCUAAUCAGAGGCUGGAGGUGACAUGCCAUAAAACUGCACAGGCUUUUAACUGAUAGGUUUACAGAAGGUUCACAGCAAAUCUGUGCCCUGUAAUUGAAAGUUUAAAGGCGCAGAUCUCAGCUCAUUUGAAUAAAAAAGCUCAGUACUCCUUCUAGCUUUUCAUUCUUCUAAAAAUAGAAGGAAAACAUAUGUCAGAAGCAAUCUGAUAUAGGUCCAUAACCCACAGUGAAGAAAAAAAUUGAGAGCUAUUGACAACCAAGUCUUUACUUUAGGUAGCCAUAGCACUUUUCACAUGUAGGUGUGAGUAAGAAAAAUUCUUUCUUAAACAUAUAAUGAACAAAUUUUGGAGAUACUGUUCUACAUUGUCUAUAUGAUAAAAAGAGAAACAAACUUAAUUAGCCUAGACCAAAUUUCACCCUGAUGCAUAUAGAUGACUCCCACUGUGAUUAUUAUACAAAAGCCAAGGUGGUAUUUGGAUCUCAGAAUAAUGUGUGUUUUUCCAAAGGCAGAAGUUGAUCUUUAACACCUAUGUAUGUAAUAAUCUCCACCUAUGGCUUUCACAAAAACUUACGUUUUAGGGGUUCCUCUGAUGGUGGUGGGAACUUCUGGUCCUCUGUGAUUAGUUAGUAGUCUGUUGAUGGCCAGGAAAUGGGACAAAUAGCAAUUUCCACCAUGAAACAGACACAUCGUUAACCGGAGUCUACCCCACCAGCGCUUCCCUCCACUAGCAUUGCUUGGUUUCUUUCUGAUCCCUGUUCUAUAGAUGCCUGAGCCAAGGAAGGGGUGCAGAAGAAAAAUAAGAAGGGCUACUACCUUUCCUCCAUAGCCAUAUUCCUCAUGUUUAAAAUUCAGCUUCAAAAUCCUGGAAUGAAAAGCAUUGACAUUUGGGGAAAGGGGUGUUACCUUUAAGUUUGUAUUUAGUCAAAUCCCAUAAAAUAGCAAAAAUAAAUUACGUAUUUAUUCUAGGCAUCCAUAAAAAUCAUGUAAGAAUAAAUUAUUCCAGAGUGACUUUUCCUCAGAAAGAGCUGGUAUACAGUUUCUAUCCCUGCCCCUAAUGUUUCACUUCAAUUUACAUUCAUGUUACCAGAACACAGCAAUCCAAGCAAGACACUGCCCAAGAACUUUAGUUAUUAUUUCCUUAUGUACAUACACAUGCAUUUAUGAAGCUGAAGGAAGCACACGCAUGCAAAUAGACACAUAAACACAUGAUGCUCCAUCUCAUACAGUACAUUCAUGUGUGACAUGCUAAUUUCUAGUAGGUGCCCAGUCAAUUGGUUUCACAGCUUAGCUAUUCAUCGUCAGACAGAGUGUCUGUGUUUCCCCCAUGCACUUCUAGUUUGCAGAAUAGUGCCAGACUGGCAUCUUGUCUUGUGACUUGAUAACAGAUUCCAUUAAUAGUGUAUCCACUGGGACUAACAUCCAGUCCCUCUCAGCAGGAAGAAAUCUGGCAAUUAGUGCCAGCCCGAAAGACUGCAAGGACUGGGGGCCUUGUAUGCCAGGUCAUGCAUAGGAGGCUGACUGUGAAUUCACACCCUCUAUAUGCACAAGGAAUUGCAAAAUGGGAGAUUUGAAAAGCAAAAAAAGAAAAAUGCGGGAGGAUACUGGGUAAGAACUUUCCUGAUGUCUGCCAUCCCCACUUUGUGAAAUUGGGGAUGAGACAAAAUCGUCAUUGUUUCACUAGGUUGGGACCAUGCCUAGCUCUGAGCUCCAUUUAUCCCUCAGCACAUUGCUAGUUCUCAAUGAUUAUCAUUAUCAUUAUUAAUGAUGGUAAUAAUUGACAACAUGAUAAACAACUUGAAAAGAGCUAGUUUCCUGAAGAAAAAAAAUAAGUCACUGUAAUAAUAGCUCUUUUACACAGGAACAAAUAGAACAUUUGUGUCUUGGUAUUUUAAAUUAUGUCUUUGUUUGCUGAGGCUGGAGGGCACAGGGUGCAAUUUUAAACUGAAAUAAAUGAACAAAUGAAUUAGCAUUAGGAAAAAGGGUACAUGUUAAUCAAAACCAGCCAUUUGGACUUGGGGUCCUUAAUUACAUGUAGAUUUUCGGUCUUGCUUCUUUCUUUCUACUCACACUUGUUCCUGGAUUUGCAGAGCUGGCCUUACCCUUAAGAGGAAGAAAAUGUUGCUUUAUUGGGUGCUGAGGUUUUAGACCAUGGCACAUAACAUAGUUCUUCCGAAGGAAAUUCCUUUAACAGAGGUAAAGCAUAAAAUGCCAAUAUGCUAAAAGCAAGGACCAAGAAGGACCUGGAGCUCCCGACCCAGCCAGCUUCUCUCUCUGACUUUAUUCAGUCACCAGCAGGAAGGAAGACAGAUGCGGAUCAUCAGUCUCUGAAAAUUUGAGAGUUAAUUAAUUUUUUUCCCAGAAGACUUAACAAAGACACUGCUCAAUAGUCUUAUUGAGAAAAAUGUGUGUGUUUCCUUCUACCUCUAUCUUAAAACAUUUUCCUGCACUUACCUGCAAGAAGAACAUAUUUAGCUUGGUCAAUACUUUCAAUUAAACUGGAGCUAGAAAAAAACUAACAUUUCUUGCAAUGUAAAACAAUUGCUCCAGCUUUUCCACCCCAGUCUUUCUGUAAUUUAUGAUGACAUCUAAUAUUGGAAUUAGAACUCAACUAUGAUCUAUGAAACUUGACUGUAUUUCUUUUUGAAGUGGUUUGGCAUGAAUGUAUUUGUGCAACUGAACUCAUUUGUUUUAAAAGAUGGCAGAGUAGACUUUACCUAGGAAAUCCCUUAGAGUUCUAAAUACACAUUCUCUGGGGUAUGCAUGUAUUUUCAGGGUCUGGUAAGAAAGAUAGGAAUCCAUUUUGACUAAGAAAGCCUUUCUUGAAAUAUCAGCUUGGUAGAUAAAGUGUCAACUUGGUGGAAGUAAUAAUAAUAAAGAUGAUAAUAUCUCCUUGGAAAACAGAUUGAGCAACAUUUCAUCCCCUUUUUUUUUCCUGCAGAACACCAGGGGCCAGCUGUACUGAAUCUUCAGAUCAUGAAUUUACAUUGCUCCCUGAUGCCUCAUUUGGUUGGGCAUCUUUAAGUCCCUAAAAGCAACUCACACAUGCUUGGAGAACCAUUGUCCCAGCCUCUGUUUCAAGCUUUAUCAUUGAUUCCUCAUCACCUUUAACUAUACAAUCGGAAAACUUCUUGUCCUGCUCUUAAGGCUGAGUUCCAUCUUGGUGACCUAGUUUGUUUCCUCUCGGAGCCACUAUGCACAGUUUCUGAAUGUGGAGAAGUCUUUUCUAGAUCUCCUGCAUGUUCUGGCUGAGCUAACAACCCACGUGCAGCUACAUCCUCCAACCGCUUCUGCACCUGUGAAGACAGAGAGCAUCCCACUUUCUGUGGGAAGGCCUUUGCUUCCUCUGUGUUCUUCCCUGUCUUAGGUAAAUACCCUAAUGAAGUGUUCCUUGCAGAGUAUUGCUGUUCAUUUCUUCAAGGUACCAUAAAAAACUGCCACAAACUGGGUUGCCUUACACAAGAGAAACUUAUUAUUGUACAGUUCUGGAGGCCAGAAGUCCAACAUCAAGGCAUCAGCACAGUUGGUUCCUGCUGGAGUGUCCCAGGAAGAACUUAUUUCUUGUCUCUCCUGGCUUCUGCUGUUUGCUGGCAAGCCUUGACAUUCCUUGGCCUGUGGCAGCUUAACUCCCACCUUUGCCUACUUCUUCACAUUAGAGCCUCCCAUUCGUGUCUGUGUCUCUUAUCCUCUUCUUAUAAGGACACCAGUCAUGUUGGAUUAGGGCCUCACCCUAAUCUGGUGUGACUUCAUCUUAAUUGAUUACAUCUGCCAGGACCCUAUUUCCUGAUAUCACCAACAAUGAGAGGUUUGUUGGUGAUAUCAGUUUGCAAGCUAGGAAGAGAAGUCUCCAGUGUGGACCAAAGGUGCUCUCUUUUUGAAGAGGGGAAGGGAAACAGGUUGGGUUAAGUGCCCCACAGAGUCUGUAUUAGACAAUAGAGUCAUACAUAUUCAGCAGGUUCGGGAGGGAAGCUAUGUUUAUUUAUGAGGGGAGCUGAGCACAUGUGUGAUGGGUAAAUGCAUAUGUGACAUACAUCCCAUGUUCACUUUAGGAAGGGGUUUUAGAUUAAAAUGAGGUAAAAUUUGACUCCAUGUCAAAAGGUGAACUAUAGGAUGCAAUGACAGUUUGUGCACAGCCUCGAUAAGCUGACUGAAACUGGUGUAAGGUCAGCAAUUGCUUAUCAGAAGAGAAUGUUUUUAAGGCUGGACCUGCUGUACAAUCAGAGUUGUAGUGGUCUGGGUUAUAAACCAGAGCCCAUAGUGAGGGACUGUGUUAAGGGAAGAAACUUCUCUUCCCAGGUCCACGAGGGGCAUGGUUUCAAAGGCAGGAGCUUCCCAGUGCCAUGCCUCCAUCCACGCCCCAUCUGGGAACAUAAAGAUCUUUGAACAUAAAGUUCUUUGUCUAACUUUCCUGCUGGCGGGCUAGGGGGAAAAUCCAGGUGAGCUGCUUUGUUCCAAAAGCUCUGGGAGGAGGGGGCUCUGUUGCAGACCAAGCAGCCAAUCCGGUAUCAGAGUCAAAGAUCAAUCACUCCAGAGGAAGUUUGAAAGAACUCCUCUCAUUAGACGAGAACAUGAAUGGGGAAGGAAUAACUCCAGGGUUAAAAUCCUAUGCUCCUUACCUAUACAGAUUCCUUCCUUGGAUUCCCUCCCAUGGCAGCAUGGGAGCUCUCUUUCUCUCUCUCUCUCUCUCUCUUUUUCUCUCUCCCUCUGCCUAAUAAAUCACUCUCUCCUAAACUCCUUGGGUCCACGAUAUUUAUUCCAAUGGUAAGCUCACCAUGCCUCUGGGGCCCCUUUCCCCAUUCUUGGGGUAAGAGAGGCCAAGUACCUGGAAUCCAAACAGGGAGGGAGCUGAGUACAUGCUCCACCCAGUUACAAUAGCUCCUGUCGUUAGGGAGUUUAGCCGUAGAAAUUUAGAAAUUAGUCCUUCAAGCCUGGACCUGAACGCUUGACACAUGGGAAACUUUGCUUCCUUAAUCUUUGGGUCCAUCUUGAUAAAUGGACAUCUACUUUGGUCUCUCAGCUCACAUUCCAUGUAGGUCACAUUUACAGGUAUUGAGGGUUAGAAUUUAAAUAUAUAAUUUUGGGGGACACAAUUCAAUCCAUAACAGUAUUAUCGUCUUUGUUUACACUGUUUGUUUUUCCUUCCCUCAUCCCCCCAUUGUUAACUUUUUUACUUUAUUUUGUAAUAGGCUGAUGGGUUCAUCUUUCCCACUGCCCAGAAAAGCAAAUGCACCAAGAACAGCAAGUCUUGCAGCAAAGAAACAGUUUAAUUAUCACAGGGCCAGCCAAGCAGAAGAACAGAAGACAUUGCUCAAAUCUGCCCCACUGAGAGCUUAGAGACCAGGGUUUAUAAGGUUAAUUUGGCAGACAGGGAGCUUUGGAAUGGGUGCUAUUAUUUUGUUGGGGAUGAAAUCAUAACAGUGUCCAAACUGUCUAUGCCUAUUGAGUUAGUUGCUGGGUGAUAGUCACCAGUUAAAUCCAUUUUUUGGUAUGUGUCACCUGGGUCUGGUGGAGUCAGUCAGGAUAUAAAAGUCUGAAAAUUAUGUCAGAGACUUAUCUUGGGUUUUGACAAUAGUGAUGUUAUCUAUAGGAGCCAAUUGGGGAAGUCACAAAUCUUGUGACCUAGGCUCCAUGAUUCCUGAGCACUAAGGGAUUUCAGAAAGGCAAGCAAGGGAACAAUGGCUAGUUAUUGUUUAUGCUUGUGUCUUCCAGAAUGUAGUGCCCUUCCUCAGUCAUUAUCUUGUGGCCUUUCAUUAGUCUUACAAAGGUGGUUUUGGUCCUUGAGCAAGGAGGGAGUUAGUUUCUGGAAAGGACUGAAAUCAUCUUUAUUUUAAAGUUAACAAAAGCAGUUAGCUUGUAAGAUUAGAAGCAAAGUGGAGUCAACUAUGUCAGAUUUCUCUCACUGUCAUAAUUUUUGCAAAGGCAGUUUCAGUUCUGAGCACUUUGGGACAGUUCUCUAUCGACUAUAUGUAUCUCAGCAUCUGGUACAUUAUAGUGUUCAAUAAAUAAUGACUGAUGAAAGAAUAAGCAAACUAUGCCUAUUCAUAAUCACUGAGUUGGGGUUUGGGGGAAUGUUGAUGUCUGAUAGAAAGAAACACCUUAGAGACAGGGGGAUCUUGCUUGGGUGUCUAGAGUCCAUUAUCCUUUGGAAUGUUAACUACAAUGGGCACAGACACUACAAUGCACUUCAUAAAACUAGUUCCAGUAUUUCAACACACCUGAUAGAAAUGGCAUGUGUAUACAGAGAAAGACUGCACAGGCGAACCAAAAUGUCAAGUUUCCUUGCACUUAACUUACAGUUUAUAUGAAUGGGAAUUGAGAGUGCCUCAGAAAAGCAAAAGCUCAGAGUCUUCUCUAUUUGAUGGCAUCACAAGGUCAAUUUGAAGAGGCCAAGCCAGACACUGGGUGGUCUCUUACACAGUGCUAAGUAGAGGGUGGACUGAGCAGAGGGUGAGUGCUCACAUUUGCCCUUGGUGUUGCUCUCACUCUCUUCACUUAUUUACAGCUAAUAGUCUUCUCUGGUCCAAAGCUGGUCCACUGACUCUCCUUUUCUCUUCUUCCUCCUCACUCCCUGACUCUUCCCCAGGCUUUUGUUUGUUUUUAUCAUCCCCUGCAUUACAUCUUCUUAAGGAGCAACAAGCCUUAUUGCCUUACCUGUCUUGAGGGGAAGGGAUAGCUUCUUACUACAGAAGAGCUCCAGCAUAGACCCUUAAUAAAACGGAUAUUAGAGGAAUUUGGAAAAUCCUCUCAAUACAGAUGCCUGGCUUGUAAAGCUAUUGUUUGGCUGCAUAAUCCUAUUUUGCAUGUUAGGAGUGAAUACCAUCCUCCUCCUUUUUCUUUGUUACUUCUCCAAUAAAUUCUAAUCUUCCCCUAGGCAGAUGGAUACCUUGGGCCUACUAGUACAAAAACCAACAAAAACGCUGAUUAAGUAAUUCUCAAAAUAUCUUUUCUAACAUACUGAAGUAGUUAGAAGUUACUCAGUGACAAGUGCCAAAGAAGAAAUAAACUGAGUGAGACAGCAUGAGUAACUUGGUGGGGAAUUUACAGAGGACUUUCCAGCCCAUUGAACAGCCUUGAAGGGGGAAGAACUUAGCAGGAGGGCCCCAAAGAGACCCUAGUAUUCUCUUCAUUAAGGCAUGGACCACAUUUUACCACUGCCUUGACCAGUCAACCACUCAAUUUCACUCUGCAGUUCCUCCCAUUUACUUCAGACUGUCAGGCAUCUUCGAAGUGAUUUAAGUCUUGGAUAAGGCUUGUGACACUCUCAGAGACCCUUAUCUAGUGAGUUUUAUAAUGUUCUAAAAACCUGGUAUUUUUCAUGUUGGAACCUGGAGGAGGGAAGAGGAAUAACUAGAAUCUUAUUUUAAUGCCAUUGUUGGGACUCAGAACACAAUAUCCCCAGGUAUGGCACCUUGGCAUGCUGAGUAUUUUUGAGCUGAAGAAGACAGGAGAGCUUCAGAAACAAGAAGGUCCUUCUGAUCUUCUGCCUUCCUAUCUCUCACCCUGCUUUCUUCUCAUAAGCAGGUAAUAUAAACUAGAAUUCCUCUCCCCAAAGCAAGCUGUAAGACCUAGAACAAGCCAGGCACAGUGGCUUAUUCCUGUAGUCCCAGCACUUUGGAAGGCCAAGGUGGGCAGAUCACAAUGUCAGAUCGAGACCAGCCUGGCCAAUAUGGUGAAACCCUGUCUCUACUAAAAAAAAUACAAAAAUUAGCCAGGCAUGGUGGUAUGUGCCUGUAAUCUCAGCUACUCUGGAGGCUGAGGCAGGAGAAUCUCUUGAACCCAGGAGGUAGAGGUUGGCAGUGAGCCAAGAUCAUGCCACUGCACUCCAACCUGGGCAACAGAGCAAGACUCUGUCUCAAACCAAACCAAACCAAACCAAACAAAAAAGACCUAGGACAUUCUCCUCCCACCUCCUCCUCCUCAACGGCCUUUAGUUAACAAGUGUCCUGCCCCACACCUGGGGUUGAGGGGAAGGUAUGUCUUACAGAGACACAGCAAACAAUCUGAACACACAGGGCUUUCUGUGUUCCCCUGAGUUGAUUACUAUUAGGUCAUACUUGCAUUUUGUCCAAUCAUGUUUCCACAACUAUUCACUUCUUUCACCAGAUGUAGCAUAAAAAUACACAUUUUCCUUAGGUCUUUGGGUCUUUAUUUCUGAAGGCUUCUGUGUCACAUAAAACUUUGGUUAAAUAAAUUUGUUAUGCUUUUCCCUUGUCAACCUGUCUUUCAUUACAGUGUUGUCAGCCAUGCCCCUUCUGAUGGGUGAGGAAAAGGUAUUACUUUUCUCUCCCAUACCAUGACAGUGGUUGUCAACCUUGGCUAUACAUUAGAAUCACUUGGGGCAUUUUAAAGGCAUACAUACAUGUCAGUUAGUAAGAGUCUAUUAUUAAGUCCUACUAUCUGGCAAAGCACUGAUCAGGUGUUGAAUUCUGGAAGGAUUCCUUUUGGAUUUCUGUAAUCAAAUUGAGUCCAUGCUAAUUCUGUUCCUGGUGUUGGCACUGGCCUGCGUUUGAGAGACAUUCUUCAGCCUGUGGUCCUCCUCAUCCUUUCGUCUCAGCCCUUGGCAUCACAGAUUUGACUUUAGCCUGAGGCUGUGCUGCACCCUCAGAUAGUUUGGGAUAACUGAGUUACCAUAAAACCUGCAAUGUCAUCUCACCCAGCGUCAUGAUGUCUGAGUGAGCACUAAUGCAUUGCCCAAGAUCAUAUCAUGGAUAAUGCCUUCUUAUUACAGCAGAAAGAUGGGAGGUUGAGGAUGAGGGCUCAAGGGAGGGCACAUCUCUUUACAAGAGAUUAGCACUAUCUAACAAAGACAUCUGCUGUCUCCAUGGUAUUUGGUAACCUAAUGCUUAUAGUUUCAUUUUGCCCAUGGCUGAUAGAAUUAAGCAUAAGAUCAUUAAUCUUAUUUCUUGAAAUUCGACAGCCUCCCUUUAUUCAGAUUCCUCAAAAUGAGUAGACCAGAUGCACUCGGGUUCACUUGGGUGGCAUGGCCCAUGAGAGUUUCAAUUCAGGACAACUGGGAUUUCAGAUUCCUUAUUAUGAGUCGGUGAGAAGGAGUCCAACGGGAGCCAAGGAAAGGCACCUAGCAGAAGGCUCCAGGAGAAAAAGGAUGUGUGGACUUUCUGAAGUAUUGGCUUAUUCAUUUAUUGUUUUCUUCCUCUGUUUCUUGGUUCAAAAAAAACAUUUAUUGGACACCAUUGAGUUGGAUAGGGUCUGUGGGUGCUUGUCUCACAGUAGGAGCACCUCCAAUAUUUAUGAAAUGAGUAAACAAGAUAAUGAUUUCUAGAAGGAGCUCAUCAUUAAUUGCCUCAACUUAUUUCUUAUUUCCUAGACAUUCUUGUUUGGUCACUUCUGUAAUAAACAUUGACCAAAUUCUCCUGCUUACUGGUCUCUGCAGCUGCCUUUCUUCCUAUUUGCUGGAAUGGACAUUAUUUCUGUCUCAUUUCUAUAUUAUCUCCACAUUAGCCUCUGACUUGUCAAUCAUAAAAUUCACAUUUAUAAAUCCAUUUUUAUCACUUUUUAUCUACUAGGAAAAAUUCGGGUCAACUUUAAUGUUGUUUACAAAAAAAUUAUACUCUACUAUUUUUUAAUCCUAUUUUCUAUGCUUUUUGCCUAGUUUCUGUCCUUUCUCCAUUUCAGAAUGAGGGAGCUGAAAAAAAAACACAGAAAAGAAUAAGAACUAGUGAAGAACUUUAUUUUACAGAAGAAUUGAGAUGGAGAUAUCCUGAUUUAGUAAGGGCGUUUUUUCCUUUCAUUAAUUCUAAUUCAUGCUCUGAUUUAGCUGAGAUGAUAAAGCAAACUGAAGCCAAGCCUGUUACUGUUCGGGUCUCCGGCAGCUUCUUGGCCGGUCUACUUUCUCCUGGAUGCCUCGCCGAGGGGCUGGCACACAGUAGGCCCUUGGUACAUGUUUAUUUAAUUACUUGAAGGGAAACAGAGAGGCUUUUAAAUCUCAAAUUAGUUAAAUAAAAAGAUUGAAAUGGAAAUGGGGGAAAAGAUUGAAAUGGAAAUGAGGCUUCAGGGUUCUCGGUGGAUCUUGUUUCUCAUUCCUGCCUUUUCUCCAUUAGCACUGAGAAUUGAAAAUUGACUGCAUUGAAUCUCAAAUCUGUUAAUUGAUAAGCCAUUUACUUUCCCCAAAAACAGAAUCAGUGGUGUUUUUUGAUUACUUGACUACUUAUCAAACUGAUUUAUUCAAUUUUCAAAUUUUUGACUCAUUUUUAUCUUGCAAGUUUGCUCUUGACUUCUGAAUGGUUCAAGUAAAUUAUCCCUCUAAAACUACAGCAAAGUUGGUAGUAAAGCUUAAUGUAACCAAAAUAAUCUCAAUUUAUGGAACCCAUUUUCCAGUGAUGCACGCUUUAUGCAAUGAAAACAACUGUUCCGGGCUGUAGUUUAAAAUCUGCCUUCUUCCCAAGGCAAUGGCAGAGGCACCUACAUUAUUGUCUCAAGCAAUUUCCCUCAAUGAAUUGUCCUUUAAACAACUUCGAUUACAUGCAUUAGUUGGCAGUUCUGUUUCAUCAGCUUCUCCAUUUCUCACAGUUCUCCUGUUCUCACACAUCAAAUGGGCAUGAUUAAUCUGAGAUUUCCUUCUUUCCUAAAGUUUCCCAACCAUUUCCCCCUAGAAGGUUUCCAAGAGCUGCUCAGAUUUCUCUCUGAAGAUGAGUCUUUCUCUUCUAGAUUUCCAUUUUUUUCUUUUCUAGAUUAGAGAUUUGUUGAUGUAUUUCCUUGGCGGUCAGAAUUUGUUACCCAGUGAAAAUGUCAACACCUGCGAGUUUCUUCCUAGCUCUGGCAACAUUUCCUGAGAACAAGUGGUUGAUUCCCAUGCUUAUAGACUAUUAUUGUUAAUGGAAGUACCCUUGACCCUGACCUGUUCUGUAAAAAUAAAAUUUUGUUCUAUUUUCUCUAAUAUUUGUAUUGGGUCUUGAGCCCAAUUAUAUUUCUUUAGAAAGCUGUGUUUUCUAGUUUUUUUCUUUGAUUGUGCAUUAUCUUUAGCAUGAAAACUAACAUAACAAAGGAUACUCAAUUGGCUAAGAGACUGCAGCUCAUGAUUGUGGAUUUUUAACCAUACAAUCAAUGAGUUUAGUUCAGGUUGCAUGUCCCAGUGUAAUAUAUGAACUCUGUUGCUUAGAAGCCUGGGAUUCACCUGUCGGAAUAGCUGAAAGUGAGGAAGGGAAUGAAGCAAACAAUCAGAGGUAGAGAUGGAAGAGCCAUAGCCGGAUGCCAAUUGCCUAAAAUAAGAAAUCUGUUACAGAUUUGACGUAUGUGUGACUUUUUCUAUUAGCAAUCAUUGAGCUGCAUCUUAGACCGGAUUUUUUGUAAACAUCCCAAUGAAGUUUGAGAGCCCCUCUUUUUCCUCCCUUUCCACAACCCAGGAAAGGGGAAGAAAACAAUUUAAUACAAUAGGUUUUCUUCAUCUCCUGCUGAUGCAGAUGCCUUCGUUUCUCUGCCUCCACCUGUCAAAAUGGUGAAAACUUUGUAUAUGAUUGAAAAUGAAUGUCUAUGUUGACUAUGAACAAAAGAAAAUAAGCAGGCACCUUUCUAUCUAAAAUUUCAAUGAGAACAUUGGUCUCAGACACCUACAGCUACCCUGGCAGACCCUGGCUAGUCCUAACCUCUCCACCUCCCAGAUGGGAAUCUCAGCCAAGUGCUCCAGUUGGCCUGAAUUUAAUGUGAGGCAGCUCAGAGAGAAGACAAGUGAGUGCGCUGCACAGGCACACCAUUUUUUGUUGUUCUUCCAAAAGUGAAAUUUCUUUCAAGGAGGCCAAACUGCUCCUCCUCAAACCACUGCAAUCCACUAAAAUUUUUCCAUAGAGUGUAUGGGAAUAUGCCGUAGUUAAAAGACAAUGUCACAAGCCAAUGGAUAUCAAACAUUGGGGCUGACUGAAUAGCUAUUAUCCAAAUCUAGAUCCCAACGAGUGACUUUAUAGUGCUCCUCUUCUCAGAUUUAACCUGCUCCUUUUUCCCCACCCUCUUAGUGCCACAGGCCUUUAAUGGAUUCUCAAUACCUUUUAAUACCAAUUCAACAACCUAGUGUCUCCAAGAGAAAUGUACACAUUUAUUUAUCUGAAAGUGGCCUUUGCAUAGGGAAAUAGUCUCUUUGAUUUAGUUGUAAGGAUGACUCACUUUGCAGAAAGCUAGAGGCACCCUUAGGUGAGAAGGGGUAAUAAGUAGGGCAUCUUGGGGGAGAUCCUUUGCAGGCCAGGAUGGCCCCACUGCUGGGCAGACUUGAGGUUCUGAGGGGACUUGAGGUCGGGUAAACAAGAAUACAGUGCUUACUGCAGCUAGUCAGAAGGGCCAGUGAAUUUGAGUAUUUCAGAUGAGAUUCUGCCUUCAUGACACUGCAUCUUUGUAGGGAGAGACAUUCUACAGUUUUUCUUUUAAUGAAGAUUCUAAAGUGAUUUAUGAUAAUUCUGAGAUACUCAUCUGAAAUGGUGUUCUCCGCAGAUUAAUGAUGAUGGGAAAAAGUAGUGUGCCCACAUCUGUUGAGAAUUAAAUGCUGCUGGAAAAUGUUUGUCAUAAAUUGUUAAUGAGGAAUUCACAGAAUUGUUCAUUCAAAUACCCCCAACCCCUUCUAUGAACAAAAAUAAGCCGACAAAGCACACAUGUUGAAUUGAGAAAAGAUCAGAAGGAAAUAUGUUCAAAUAUUCACAGUGCUAAUCUAAAAGGAUGGGAUCCUAUUUUCUUUUUUGUACCAGUAUGUAUUCUAAAUUUUCUACAAAGCAUGUACAAUAAAGUUAUUAAAAAUUAAACACCAUAGUUUGGCUUUUAACACCGCACCUGGUUUUGAGGUCAUCCAACAAAACAAAACAGAAAUUUCCCAGAACUCUGGAAAGUUAAAUGGGGCUCAGACGCAUGGAGUCAGGUGGGAUGUGAUGGCAGGCCAGGCACACGCCUCACCCCUUCCCAGGUGCCCCACUGUGUAGAUGGCCAUGACAGCAAGCUGCGGCUCAGAUAACAAACCAAAGAGAGAGAGAGAGAGGCUUUUAUUUGAAUUGUCAGCCUUAGCCUUGAGAUACAGUGCAAGUGGUUUUAACAGCCAAAUCACAUCUUUGCGAACAAUGUCACAAAGAUAGAAAAGGAGCAUUAUAUUUUUUAUCUCAAAGAUGUCCUGAAUAAAGUACACUUGGUUCCAAUUUCAUCUUGAUAGUGCCUCACAGAUCACAGUGACAGCUUUUCUGGAAGAAUCGCUGAUACUGGGUUUACCUUGGUUUUUCUCCACUCGAGGUGGAGAAGCUCUGCAUUUUUAUUAGCACAUACCCAGCACAGACCCAUUAUUAUUAUUUACCAUUUUAAAUGUUUUCUUGGUUCUGAUGGAUUUCUUAGCUCAGGUAACAGGAUGUCCUGGCCUUUAGAGAAUGCAGAUGGGAUGGGUGAGCUUUAGCAAGGAUCCCAUCUAACUAAGCGCACCACAAUAUCACCUACCAUCUGCUGCAGCAUAUGCUUAAAAGGCACGGUUUACACACUAAAUAGUAAAAUUCACGUUUCCGUGGCUCAUGUGAUCUCCAGUAAAAAAUCUUAGCUGUAUUUUUAAAGCUAUCAGGAACCAAAAUAAUGACACUUUUUUGCAGGUCUCUGGUGCCUGGAGGGUUUGUUUGCUGAAAAAGGUCCAAGCAUCCUGGAAGAUCGAGCCCAGCUGCUGGAAAGGACAUGUCUGACUUCUCCCUUCUCCCUGGGAGGAGCAGGCCAUGGCACACUGAGCAUCUAAGUUAAAGGCCCCAAGGAAGGCCACACUGUCAAAAGUCUUGAGUUGAUCCUGGAAUUUUUAAGGAUAGGUCCUGUUUGGUUUGGGGCUUUACCUUGACCAGAGGCCAAGAGAAGAAAUACAGGAAAGUACAAGACAGGGCUGUGCCACUCCUGAGAGGGACACUAUUGAAAGUGAUGUCAGACUGCAGACAAGAACAAAGGAAAAACCACAAGCACAGUCUCCAUGGAGGUCCGUCACGCCAAGAGCCUGAGACAACAUCUUGUUGCCUUUACUUUUUCAGGGAAAUCUGACAAAGGCAGAGGAGGAAAAGAAAAACAGAGAAGAGGAUCAGAAGAAGGAUGGAAGAGGGAGUCUCACAGGCCUCUCCAAGUAAGCUGGGAAUUGUUGAGCACAGAAAUAGUGCUCUAUGGCGCUACUGCUCCCAGCUCCCAGAACGAUGUUGGGUUAGCAAGAGGAAGGGUGAUUAGAGGAGAGACAGGGUGACACGCUCCCCCACUAACAAUGUGUACACAUUGAGCAGCAGACACAUUACACCUUCUGUUGACUCAGGAACCCUUUCAUUCUAACGUGGGUUCUUACUUGUCCCAAAGUGCCAACAUUUCUGAGCUAUCUUUUAAGAUUUUCACUGACAGACCAGGCAUGGUGGCUCAUGCCUGUAAUCCCAGCCCUUUAGGAGGCUGAGGUGGGAGCAUUGCUUGAACCUAGGAGUUUAAGACCAGCCUGGGCAACAAAGCAAAACCCCUGUAUUUAAAAAAAUACAAAAAAAUAAAAAAUAACUGGGUGUAGUGGCAGGUGCCUAUUGUCCCAGCUACUUAGGAGGCUGAGAUGAAAAGAUUGCUUGAGCCCAAUAAGCUAGCAUCAUGCCACUGAAUUCCAUCCUGGGCAACAGAACUAGACUCUGUCUCUUAAAAAAAAAAAAGAUUUUCAUUGAUGCCCGUUAAGUUUUGGUGGGUGAAUGAUGUAUAUAAUACUGCUCUGGACCUAGUGAGGAGAGGACCAUAUCUACCUAAAUUGGCCAUAUGAAUCUUUGGAAGCAUCUUAAUCCUGUUGUCCGCAUCCUAUUUUGUAUACUUGCAAAAGAUAUCCAGAAUCUGACCAUAUUGUAUCAACCACUCAUUGGCUACCACCUUGAUCCAAGGGUAGCAGCCAAACUUCCCCACCUACAUUUACCCUAAAGCCUUCUGACUGGUCUCUCCGCUUUUAUUUUUGCCCUUUAGCCCACCCCAGCUAUUCCAGACAAAGUAUACAGUGAUGCUUUGAAAACAUUGGCCAUGUCAAGUCACCUAUGCCCUGCAUCACUGUAGGAUACAGCCCCUGACCUCUCUGACCUCAUCCGCUGCCCUCCACUCAGUCACAUGGCAGGCUCGCUUCCACCUCAGGAUCUUUGCUUUUACAGUUUUCUCUGCUUGGAAAGCUCAUCUAGAUAUUGGCACUCAUCACGUCUUUGCUUAAAUGUCUCCUUUCCAGCAAGGUCUGCCCUAAUUCUCUUUAGAAUUGCACCCCUGGCCUACUUUCCCUGGCUCUUUUUCACUUGAUUUUUCUCUAGAGCACCCAGCAGUUCUCACCUGGAAAAUAUGUCAUUUACUUAUUUUGCUUCCUGUCCAUGUUCCCAGUACACUAGAGUAGAAGCUCCAUGAAGAGAUUUAAAUCUGUGUUGUUCACAGUUGUAUCCUCAGUACCUAGAAAGGUGUUUUACAUUUAGUAGGCACUCAAAAAUAUCUGUGAAUUGAAUUUGCUUAAUGCUUCCAGAAGUCUUGUGGGCAGCUUUCUUAUGUACAGUUUUAUAUAUUUAAAGGUCAUGCCUGAUUGAAACAAGAAAAACAUUUGUAAAAUUUUACACACACUAUCUUAGGCUGUUCAGCAGUCUGUAUAUGAAAUAGGCUGUAAGUGGCAGCCAAGUGUCCUGUAGAUGGAAAUCCACACAUCACCCACGGUGGCUCGUGCCUGUAAUCCCCAUGAUUUGGGAGGUUGAGGGAAGGAUUGCUUGAGGCCAGGAGUUUGAGACCAGCCUGGGGAAAAUAGCAAGACUAUCUCCACAAAAAUUAAAAAAAAAAAAAUUAGCCAGGCAUGGUGGCACACACCUGUAGACCUAACUACUUAGGAGGCUUAGGUAGGAGGAUCACUCGAGACCAGGAGUUUAAAGCUGUAGUAAGCUAUGAUUGCAGCAAUACACUCCAGCCUGGGUGACAGGAGAGACCCUUUAUCAAGAAGAAAGAACUCUACACAAGAGAACCUUCUAAGUCCUUGAUGUUCCUUCUCAAAUGAAGUUUUAGUUCAUUGGAUGAGGAAAGUGUAUCCGUCUUAUCAUUAUCUAGUUUGCAUCUGGUGCAAGAAAAAUGUUAUUGUCUCUCCAAUAAUUCUUUCUAACAGAUCACUUUGGAAUAUCCUAAAUUAUCUUAAAAUGAAAUAAAAUAAAGAAACAUGAAAUGUAGAUUUAAUGCCAGAUUUACCCAAGCCCAUCUGUAUACUUGUUUAUUUUUCAAGAGGCUUGUUUCAUUAGAAAUUUGGACAUAAAUGAUGAAAGCUUAUUGGAUUGUUUUUGGUUAUGUAGUUGAAAAUGGCUGUGGUGGGACAACAGCUUUAGAGGCCUUUCAAGGGUAUUAUCCAGUAUCUUUUUCUGAUCUUGUUUACAUAUACCAGUCCUAUUGGCUAAACAUACAUAAUUAUUCUCUUGACUUUUCUUUGCGAAUUGAUAUUGCUAUUGAAAAUAACAUCCCUGAAGACAGAGCAAGGUAAUAUUCAUUUUUUAAAAAGCUAUCUUAUUAUGUUUACCUUGCUGUUAAGUGUAUUUCUUAUUUAGCCUAGAAGUGCUGUAGUGUGGCAAAAUAUUGUAACUCACAUAAUGAUUGUAAUUUAAAAAUGAAAACCACUAGGUAUCUUUUCUUCUUUGCUUUAGUUUUGCUGGCUGUAUGAUGGUUUUGGCUCUAUCUGUAAACAUACAUAAAAUGAAUAACAGUAAAUGAAUUACAGAGCUAUAAUUCCAUUGAGGGUUCUGGAAACAGCUUUUAGCCUCAAGAGCCAAGCUCUUACAGUCUGUAUCAAAUCAGAAUUGCAAGACAGAAUUAUAGCUUUAUUACUCAAGGUUUGCUUGUUGUUAAUUUUAUCGAGGACAUAAAAGCUAAUAUAAAGCAUCUGUCGCAUCCUUGACCCUUUAAGAAAACUGUAUCCAUGGCAGCUGAUAUCAGGUAGGAGGAGGAGGCCCCGAAUCCUCACAGGGUAUCAUGAGAGAGAGAGAGAGAGAGAGAUGCCUUGUUCCUUGAAUAUCUCUUUGACACUAGAGAGAGAGAGAGAGAGAGAGAGAGAGAGAGAUGCCUUGUUCCUUGAAUAUCUCUUUGACACUAGAUCCCUGUAGUGGGAGGGUUGGGAUGAAUUUCAAUCUGUUCAAUCAACACGUAGUUAUUGAGCUCACACUGUUGGCAGGUCCUGUUCUAGAUGCUGGGGUUAUAGCAGUGAACAAAUCAGGCAGAAUCCUUCCUGCCCUUUUGGAGUACUUAUAACUACAACUAAAUCAGUACAUGUGACAACCCAUUUCACACAAAACCAGCUAAGAAAAGAUAGUUUAGGAGGAUUAGGGCCUUCAGAGCUGGGGUGGGAGUGUGUUCUUUUAAAUAGAAUGGGUAAGAAAGACUUCACUGAUCAAACGUAAUUUGGGCAGAGACUCCAAGGAACAGUCUUGAUGCAGAUUUCUGGGGGGAAAGCCCCCCCGGACACAGAAGGCAGCCAGUGUAAAAGCCUGAGACAGAAGGCUUGGCAGAGGGGGCGGCAGGGCUAGCAUGAACAAGUCAAGUGGGUGGAAAGGGAGUGAUGGGGGAAUGGGGACCUGUGAUUAGGACUGGAUCAUAGAUGGCUUUCUGGGUCAAGGGAAGGUCUUGGGAUCCUCUGAGAAGAAUAGGAAGCCAUCAUAGAGUUUCAAGCAGAGAAAUUACAUUUCAAGACGAUCAUUCUGGCUGCUGCAUAGAAGACACACAAUUGGGAGACAAGGGUUUAAAUAGGAGAGUAGUUAGGCCACUGUAAAAAUCAAGGCAAUAGAUCAGAGUGGCUUGGGAGAAGUGGCAGGUGGAGGUGUUAAGGUGGAUUCUACUUUUGGUUACACGCUGAAGCUAAAGCCAACAGAAUUUGCUGACAGAUUGGAUGUGGGAUCACUUCACAGUCUCAUUUCCCUGGAACUGCUACAAGGUCAUCCUGGGUUGGCAUUACCAACUUCAAUUUCAUCUGAUUCUCCUCGGGCAGAAGUAUUUUUGAGACGAAGAGCUGAGAUCGGCUAAUUUGUCAACAUUACAAAGCAGGAGACUUAUCCUCGUAACUCUUCUCUCUCAUUGAACCUUCCCAGCAGCAGCUGCUGACAUAUGAACCUCGCAGAUGAAGAUGCCACAGCAUGGCUAUUUCUUGACUGCACUGCUGAGGCCCAGCAUGAGCAAGGAUCCAGGUUCGCAGUAGCCAUGGCAGAAGGCAUAUGUGCUCCCACACUCCUCUCAGACGGAACCGGUGGAGGAGAAUGUCUGGGGAAGAAGAGGAGGCAAAGAUCCACAAGGACACCAGCCCUUCAAGCAUUCGCCAGCCACUGCAGUCCAGUUCAGCCUCAGAGCAGAAAGAGCCUGGGCUUCAUUCCCGGUUUUUCGAGCCCACUUUGCAGAUGAACCAGUACAGGCUUAUGUGUACAGAAGGAGGCCUGUCUCUGUGGUUUGAUUUAAGAGAUGGCAGCUCCAAUCUGAAAGUAAUUUCUCUUUGGCCCAUCUCUGGAGCCUGAAAUGUCACUGGUUUUGCUUUAUUCCUCAGCAGAAGGCAGCGCCCUUCUUCCUGGAUCUCUUUUCAAAUGUAAAUCUUCCUCAGAUGAAGAACAUCUCAAGUCACCCAAACCUCCCAGGAAACGAUUGAGUCCUCCAGCGAAUGCCUCAUGCUUGGGGCAGAAAAGGAAGAGAACGAACGAAAAGAGAAUCUUUGGUGUCUGAAGGAGGAAGGGGUCGGAAAGAAGAAGAGCGAGAGAAGUUAACAGUCUCGGGUGAUAGUAACAGUUAGAGGAUUCACCAGGCCUACAGUGGAGCUUUUACAGCCUAGACCAGAGAGCUGCCUCUGCCUGGUCCCCAGGGAGCAGAAAAGAACCAGGUCCUAGGAUGGAGGACUGGAAGUGUUUCUCAACAAACAUACCAGCAAGCUUCAGAUGUACCCUGUGCCAAUUUCUCAAAUCCACUCAGUCACUGACCUUCAUGGGUAAUUACAGCACAGGACCCAGGAAUGGAUUUUUAGCAAGAAAGGGCUGGUACCAGGAGCCAGCUGUACUGUCCAUCUACCUGAGAAGUCAGAACAUGGGAAAGAUGAGAGUAGGUGAGGCAGCAGCCAGGGCUCUCAGUGAGGGCCGUGGCAGGCAGCUCUUCUGCUCAGUAGACUCUCAUUCCCCAGCACAUGUCCAAGUCCCCAUUUGCCAGUCAUCUUAAGGUUCAGAGAGCUGAGAGAGCCAUGUGGCUCAAAAACUCAGCCUGUCUCACCUGCCAUCUGUUUCCCUGAAUGGGCAAAUUUCAUAGGGAGGCCUGUUAACCAGAUGUGGCUGAAACCAGUGCCCGAUUGUCCCUCUGCAGCUGUGGAGGGGGUGCAGUGGGCCCAACUGUUGGCCAUGAAUCAGGUUCAGGGGCAGCUGAUGUCCUCUGCUCAUUCUAGGCAGGGCACAGACAGUGCCAAGGAGGCCGCAGCCCAGCCGCCCCCAGCUUGCUGAGAGGCCCUGAGAUUGCAUGACCAAGUGGGUCUGAUGGUUAGUGCUGAAAUCCCUGAGUAAAGCCCCUUGCUUUAGGUAGAGACAAUUAUAAUGAGAUGCUUUUCUACAUUCAGAUGGUCAGUUUAAAAUCAGUAUUCUGAUUUCAAAACAAAUAAAACCUGAUUCCAGAAUAAUCCCCUACCCCUUGCCAUCAGUAUUAUACCUUAAUUAUUGGUGAUACAUCAAAAAGCAGCGGGAAUCAACUAACAUGCCAAUCAACAACUCCUUCCAUCGUUAUCAGACCUAGGGGGAUAGCAGCUGCUAUUAUUCUGUAAUAUCUACAUAGCUACUUAGUACCCCAAGCCAAUAAACGCAAAACCUCCGCUCCUUCUCCUCUCCCAGGCACAGUGUUCAAUGCAUAGUAAGUACUGAAUUAAGAAGCUCAUCACUGGGGACAACCUGACCCUUGAUGACUUCUCAACAACAGUCCUAGAAAAAGCAAGAAGGAGUUGUCCACUCACUGGCCUCAGAUAAACAUUUGAUAAACUGUUGAUUCCUUUGGUUAUUUAUGAGCUAUAACAUGCAUAUAAAUGAACAUGUUGUAUUAGUUGGUACAAAUUUUAAACUUUAUCUAUGUAAAACAUACACUUCAUUCUACGGGCAGCUGACUUGUGUUAUAAAUGAGGGUCUGGAAUGCUGUUAGAAUUUGUGUUCCUGCAUGCAUAUCUGCCCUCAAAGGGUGCUCCUCAGAAUCGCAGGAUCUAGCAUUGCAGACUUAAUCAAACCCAUUUCCUUUCCCUUCAUAAGCGAAGAAGUAGAGGCCCAGAAUGGCAAAGCGAUCCCUGAACCAUUACUCAGCAUGCGAUGGCAGAGGCAGAAUUAGAAUCCAGAAUCCAUGUUCCUCAAGCCAGUGCUCCUUCACUCUGCCAUGCUCCAUAGGAUCAGAGUUUCAUAGGAUCAGAGCCUUUCACACCAGGGAGUUCGGCUCUGUCGCUGUUUAAGGCAUGCUGUAAUAAACAGUCUGCAGGGAUCCACUCUUCUCUAUAAUUCCACAUGGUGAUUAUAAGCCAAUUUGUGUUAUUCUAUAGUUGCAGCCUGGUAGCUUCUUCUUAUAUUGAAAUGUUUCCUUUAAAUGCAUUGGAGUCAUAUAGUAUUUAUUUUAAACAGAGGGAAACUAGCCUUUAGGAGUUGAGGCAGUUCCUGGAUUAGGUAGUCAGGCAUUUUAAAUUAGGACAAAAGACCCUAGGUAAAACUGCAAAGUAGGCCAGGAAGCUUGUUGUGCCCAUGAGGGAACUUAUUGCAAGGUGUCAAUGAAUUCAUGUGUACACUAAGCACUGAUUAUAGACUAAACAAAUAACAUGUCUUACACAUAUACCUCCUACAGGUCCACAAGUAUUUAUUUCAAACCUUGGGGACCAAAUGUGUUUUGGAAGUCAGAUAGUUCAGGUUUUAGAAAGGUAAUUGGAUAUAUAAAUAUAUAUGUACCAUAUAUUAAUAAUAUUCCCAGUGGAGUCUGAGCAGUACCCUAUAAUCCAACACAUGAAAAGUUCUGCAGUUAAAUAUGGGAAUGCUCACUACUAAUAGGAUAAAGAAACACUAUAAAUAGCUUCAUGUUAGUUCAGGUCAGGUUUUGUCCCAAAAAAAUUAGUUUGUGACAAACCUACCAAAAAAAUGCUGUUUUCAGUGCUUUGUGAAGUUCAAGAUUGUGGAUGAGAGAUUGCAGACUUACCUUGUCUUAUUUUAAAAGUAUGAAUAUACUGAUCAAUAAGAGAUACAUUAAUAAAUGAAUGUCAAUAUUUAAUGUGCCUUUUUGCCAUCAUAUAUUUUCUCCAUUGAUGGCUAGACAUGAAGUCAACAAACAUGUCAGAACUCACAAAUUUUUUUUUUUUGAGACGGAGUGUCACUCUUGUUACCCAGGCUGGAGUGCAAUGGCGCGAUCUUGGCUCACCGCAACCUCCGCCUCCUGGGUUCAGGCAAUUCUCCUGCCUCAGCCUCCUGAGUAGCUGGGAUUAUAGGCAUGCGCCACCAUGCCCAGCUAAUUUAGAACUCACAAAAUUUUAAGGGCUGCUGGCUGUCAGUGGUGGGAGCCCCAAGCCUAACUUCGCCCUGGAGUGUAGCUCAUGGAACCACCUCCCUCACUGGUGUACAGCCACACCUGAGGGAGUGGGAGGGCCAGCCAGGACCUGCGGCGGGAGCCUGAUUAGGAAAGACUCCACAUUGUAGGGCAAGGGUUCCCAAUCAUAUUAGGUAGGGAACCUCAUUUCAAUUGCACAGGCUCUAGAGCUAGAUUGCUGGGUUAAAUUCUUGCUCUGCUAUUGACCAGUUGUGGGGCCUUAGACAAGUCAUUUUACUUAGUUCUUCAGCAUCCUCCCCAGCUAUGAAUCCAAGUACUAAUCAGUUCUAUUUCACAGAAAUUCUAUUUCAUAGAAAUAUUGUAGGGACCUAAAUGAGUUAAUCCAUGUAAAACUCUUAGAGGGGUAUCAGGCACACAGUAAUCUCUUAAUCAACGCUGCCUUUUUUUAUUGUUAUUGUUUGUUUACAUGUCUACGGUAGGCAGGAUAAUGGCCCACGAAGACGUACGCACCCUAGUCCCUGAUUGCUGGACCCCGAAAUAGAAUAUUCUGAAACAUAUCUCAGUAUACGUUACUAUACAUGAGGAUGGGAGAUGAUCCUGGAUUUUUCAAAUAGUCUCAACCUAAUCACAUGAGUCCUGAAAGGGGAGAACUUUCCUUAGCUGUGGUAAGGGAAAGGAAUGUGACAAUGGAAAGGAGCUUCAAUGCUGACUUUGCAGGUGAAGAAAGGGCCCAUGGGUCAAAGGAAGUAGGCAACUCCUGGAAGCUGGAAAAGCCAAGGAAAUGGAUUCUUUUCCAAGGUGUCUGGAAAGGAAAACAGCCCCGCCGAUAUGCUGAUUUUUAGCCCCAUGAGGCCUAUGUUGGACCUCUAACCUACAGGACUUUAAGGCAAUACAUUUGUGUUGUUUUAAGCCACUAGGUUUGUGGUAAUCUGUUAUGGCAGUGACAGGAAACUAAUAAAUGCCUGUCUCUUCUGUUCUCUAAUGAGCAACUUGAAGGUAACCCUGUGUCCCUCACUCCUUUAUCCCUAGUGUCUAGUCAGAAUCUGGCAUGCAGUAGGCACUCAAUAAAUAUUUAGUGAUUUAGUCAACAAAUGUCUGUGUGAAGCAUGACAAAUGGCUUUGCUCAGGCUAACUAAGCUACCAGUAUGGGAAAUACUGAGGUAAAUACUGGACAAGGUUUGAUAAAUCCUUGCCAGGAUGUUAGUCUAAUAAUAUUUUUAAAAAAUCAUUACAAAGUGAACUGGAUAAUCUAAUAAUAAUAAUAAAGGAAAAUAGCAAGUGCUGACAAAGAUGUAGAGAAAUUGGAGCCCUUGGUAGAAAUGGAAAAUGGUGCCAAUGCCAUGGAAAAAUACUCGAUACUUUCUCAAAAAGUUAAACAGAGAAUUACCAUAUGCAAUUUUUACACCCAGGAAUUCCACUCCUGGGUAUAUAUCCAAAAGAAUUGAAAACAAGUAUUCAAACAAGAAGUUGUACACACAUGUUUGUAGCAGCACUGUCCAAAAUAGCCAAAAGAUGAAAGCAAUACAGAUGUCCAUCAGUGAAAGUCUAAAUGAGCAAAAUGUAUUGUAUUGGUAGAAUUAGUUUUUAUUAUUGGGCCACAGAAGGAAUGAGGUUCUGAGAUAUGCUACAGGAUUGAUGACCUUGAAAACAUUAUGCUAAACAGAAGAAGCCAGACAAAAAAAAAGGUCACAUAUUGCAUGGUUCCAUUUGUAUGAAGUAGCCAGAAUAGUCAAUUCAAUAGAAACAGAAAGCAGAUUGGUGGGAAGGCAGGGAAUGAGGAGUGACUGCUCAGUGGGUACAGGGCUUUCUCUCGGUUGAUGAAACUCUUUGGAACUGGAUAGAGGUGAUGGCCACGCAGCAAUGUGCAUGUACUAAACGCUGCCAGAUAGACCCUUGAAAAUGGUCAAAAUGAUGACUACUACGUGAAUUUUACCUCACUUUUAAAGAAAUAAAGUAAGCUGGGCAGAAAAUUUCUUCUGUUUCAAAAAUCCCAAGAAGGAUGACAAAAUGUAGUAUUAAUCAUAGAAUCUCUUUUUCCCUACCAUCUAAUAAAAUGCUCGGAAAGUAGCAUGAAUGAGUAAGAGAUUAAUUGAUUGAUUUCCCAGCACCAGAUAAACAAGGAAGGAGUAACAACUUUAUGCCAUAAGUGUCAAGAAGGAGUAGCCGCAAAAAAGAAAUAGAAGAUGCUGUUGGCUCCUGACCUCACAGCCCCCCUCUUCCCUUUUCCCAAAGCCAAGCCCUUUAGAGGAAGGAUGACCAGUUAAUGGAACCCUGAUGACUCUCACCAAUGCUCACCAGCUUCAAGAGAAACAGAUUGAAGGAGUAAGUAAACAAUUCUGGGAAAAUUCCAGGAAAAGUCCUUGAGAAAAGAGCUCUCACUGCUUGACCCUGGGGACUUUGUUGGAGGCAGGAAGGACUACCAGGUCAAUAUGUUGAGCUGCAGGAACAAGCUGAGAUCUAGAGGAGUGGACUGUACUCUUGGCUAGAUUGAGUGGGGGCAUGACUAAAAAGUUAGCUUCAUCUCAAAAAGGGCUCUAAGCAAAGACUGUACCCAGGCCUGGCUGAGCUAUUCUUGCUUAUCCCCACCUUUUCAGGAUACAGAGAAGGGGACUGGAAAUAAGAACCAACCCUUUAUUGGGUCAGAGUGGGGAAGAUAAAGAGUCUAUAUAAGGCAGGGGGAUGAGAAGGAAAAUUCACCCCCACUGUAUUCCAUUGAAGCAAUACGCAAUCACUCGGAAUAGUCCACAUUAGGCAUAAGAUGAAAAUAAAUCACACAAUCUCAAUAAAGUAUUCUAAGAUAAGAAUGUAUGUUAAAAAUAUAUGAAAAAUCCUGUCUGGGAGGAACCCAAGACCAAAACAGUGAGGAGAUUCCUUGUAAGUGCAUUAUGCUGUGUAAGAACUUAAUAAGAACACAAGUUAAAUGAAAUGAAAGAUCAAAAUAAUAUAAUAAAACAACAAAGUGAGAUUGAAUGGGAUAUCGAAGAACUAUAGGAACAAAAUAAAAUUCUGAGUAACUUAGAAAUAGAGAUAGUAGAUAUAACUAAAAAUCAUACUAAUUAUACCACUUGAGACCACAGCAAAUACAGAGGAAAAAAGAAUUAGCUACUAAUUAAGACACUCAAAGAUAAUUCAGUGUAAGAAUAUUUGAUAUCCCUGAUAAGAACCCAAUAAAUAAAACAGGAAAAUAUUGAAAAACCUAAUACAGGAAUUUUCCUGAAGUGAUGGCAGAACUGAAUUAGUACUUUGACAAGGUUCAAAUCUGUGUCCCUGCCCAAAUCUCAUGUUGAAAUGUAAUCUCCAGUGCUGGAGGUGGGGCCUGGUAGGAGGUGAUUGGAUCACAGAGGAGGUUUCUAAUGGUUUAGCACCAUCCCCUUAAUGCUGUUCUUGUGAGAAGUGAUAGAGUUCUCAUGAGAUUUGGUUGUUUAAAAGUGUGUAGCACCUCCCCCCUCUCUCUCUUUCUCCUGUUCUGACCUUGUAGGAUGUACCUGCUUCCCCCUUGCCUUUUGCCAUGAUUGGAAGUUUCCUGAGGUCUCCCUAGCCAGGAUUCCUGUACACCCUGCAGAACUGUGAGCCAAUUAAACCUCUUUUCUUUAUAAAUUAAAGUCUAGUCUCAAUAGUGCCUUAUAGUAUUGCAAGAACAGACUAAUACACACUUGAAAGAUCAAACUAUAUCCAAGGCAAAAUUGAUGCAGAAUGAACAACAUCGUGUCAUGCUGUGAUUAAGCUAAUCAGUCUCUAAGAUAAAGAAUUCUUUGGCCAUCCAACAGAAAAAACAAAAGGGGAAAAAUAUUAAGGGGGCUUCAGAUUUCUCCCUAUCACCCCCCAAUGCCAGAGAACACCAUGGAAAUAGCUAAAACAGGAAAAGAACCAUCACCUAGAAUAUUUUUAUUUGGUCAAAUUUUCAUCCUUGUGUAAAGGCAACGUGGAAAGCAUUUGCAAAUGUAAUGGUGCUUAGGGAAUAUAGCACCCAUGAACCUUCUUAAAGAAAGCCUUCAAGGCCACAGACUAUGAAGCCAAACUGCCUAAAUUUGAAUCCUGGCUUUGCCACUUUCUAACUCUGUAAUUUAGGCACAUUACUUAACUAACCUUUUUUGUGCCUCAGUCUCCUCAUCUGUGCAAUGGGGAUACUAAUAGUCAAUAUUUAAUUGAGUUUUUGUGUGUGUGAAUUCAAUGAAUUAAUAUGAAUUUGUUUUAUGAUUUUUAGCAUUUCCUUUAUUUUUAUUUGAGUUUCUUUUGUCUCCUAUUAAGAUCAUGUAAAACCAAGCUUAGCAUUUUUAUUUUUAAGACAAAUAUAACAUGACAUUCUUAUAAAAUCAUUUUUGUCCAUUCAUCCAUUCCCUCACUCAAUUAUAGACAGAAAGAUGUCUGAAUUGGUGACCAUCAUAUAUUAACACUAGUUGGUAGUGGAAUUUGAGUAAUGCAUCCAUUUUUUGGUAUAUAUCUUGAGGUUUUAUAAUAUGCAUGCAAAAAACCAAUAAAGUUAUUAUUUUAAAACUAACCAAUUAAAUAACCAUCUAAAUAUACAUAAAUCACUUCACAGCCCUGUAAGGAAUGAUUCAUGAUUGCUGAAGUACAUUUUGUUCUUAAAAGAAGAGAUCAUAUGUAUAAUCAAAAUCAACCUUUUCAUAUUUUGUCAACUAUUUUCCACUCUAUUACUUAAGCAUUAGGGAACAGUUUCGUCUUGUCAACACCCAGCUGGAAAUAAUAGCUCAUAUGCGAUGAAAAAUAGUGGCUGUGGGGUGUGGAGUGAUUCACAGGAACAUGAUUUCCCAUGUCAGAGAGAAAUGAUCUCCACCAAGUAAGCUGUAAUUUUCCACCAAGUUGAGCAAAGAGGUAGGGUUUACAGAGCAACAGGCAACUCUUUCUUCCCCAGCUCCUCAUAUGACCAUGCUAAGGAUGCUCUCCAUUGACUAUAAAGUAACCCUACUGACCUGCCGUGGACCUGAGUCUGGAGUUCUGUGUUCAGUAUUUGGCUGAUCCUCUGAGCUGCCUCAGGCCUAGUUGGGUGUUUCGUUCCUUCACUCCUAUUGCAUCUUGAUCCCUCUCUUCUCACACUUCACUGUGAUAGUUGGCCCAUCUCCCCCUUAGCCUGUGAGCUUCUUGAGGGCUGAAAAACACCUUGUCCAUCCCCUGUGCCUUGCGCAGAGCCUGUCUUAGAAUGGGUGCUCCCCCAGUAGAGUGAAUAUUUGUUAAAUGAAUGAUUAAUUGAAUAAUGAAUGAGUUAUCCAUCCUUCUCUCCUGGUCUCUUUUGUCAUCAGAUAAAUACAUGUGGUGAGAACAAAUUCCUGAGAUAAACGGAUCUGCUUCCUUCUCACAGGCUCUUGUGAGAUGGGUAACUCUGGCAUAAUCAGCUGUGUUGCAAAGCUCAUCACUAGAUGUAGGCAUGGCUCCUCUAUGACCUAACCACACUCAGUUUUUCUUUUUUAGAGGUUACAAAGGAGGGCUGAUUAAGGAACAAUCAUUCUGGAGUCACCCCCAGAAAAGACUUUAUGAACCAGUAGCAUAAUACAGCUCAAGGACCAACUUGGGGUACUCUUCAUGCUGUUCUGUGUCCUAGAAGCCCCAAGAUAAUCCUUAUCUUCCCUCACAAUGUUAUUCUUAGACAGCCAUUGGGAAAUAACAUAAAAGUUAUUUACAGAGCUACCUUGGCAAAUAGCAAUAGGACUGUCGGUAAGAAAAUCAAAUGUUUUUACUUUUAUUUAAGUUAAUUGUAGAUUAGAUCCUUAAAAAAAAAAAAUAAGGCCCUUAAUUCCUGGUGGCUCUGUUCCCAAACACUAUCUUGUAUUGAAUGUGAUUCAAUCAGUGUGACAAGUACAGUUAAACCCAGAACUGAAAGAGAAUGCUGCUUGUUCCUCAUUAGUUAGAGGCAAGAGAUCAGCAAACAGGGAUCAAGGCCGAGGAGACGCACAGAAGCUGGGUAUGCAUGGGCGUGCUAGUUUGAAAUGGCCUCAGACAGCAUUUGCUUCCUAAUAUUUAGACUAUGUGUACACAGCAUUUUUUGAUAAAUGGAAAUUAAGAACAAAAAAGGAAGGAAAGAAGGAAAAGGAACUCAACAAAAUACUAAAACGAUUGUGCUUCCUGACUGGCACCCAAACAUAAGUCAGGAUGUCUCCUGGCACUUUGGCUUUCGAUAAGAAACAGCCAGGGGCACUUUGUAACCUGUUAUGCACUUAAAAUUGUUAGAUUGAUCACUUGGAGGGGGACUCACUUUUACUCAGUCUUCAGCUUUGCUUCUCUUAUUGAGAAGAAUUUGCCGAUGUAGUAUAAAGCUCGAAAUAUGCUAAGAAGAAUGAAUUAUUGAAUUCAAAAAUUUCUAAAAUGUUAUGAAAUGUUGACAGUAUAGACAGAUCUGGGGUGGGUUUUUGGCUGUUUGGACAUAUUUUCUAGGGAGGAGAGUCUCUUUUCUUGGGAAUGUGAGGAUGGUUAGCACGCCAACCAGCAGCGAGGGUCUAGGGCCGGGAGACCUCCUCCAGCUAUCAUAAGAUAAUCCUCACCAGCUAAAAGCACCAUGGGCUCCCUUCUCUGAUUCUGCCUUUAGGAAAAAAACCCAGCAAUUAAUUAAAAAAACCAUUGCAUAUAGAGAAGAAGUCUUCAGACUUUCACAUGUGAUACCCACAGUGCUUGUUAAAUGGCAGAGUCCUGGACCCCAUAUUCUUGAGACCUAGGGUAAGACCCCAGAUUCUGCAGUCUUACAAGCCUAACAGACGUCAGAGCUGUUACCACCACAACCAGACAAACUCAGCUGUAGAUGCUAAUGCAACUUCCCUCCGAGACAAGGACUCAUGGGUGUUGUUAACAUGCAAGAUAAAAUUUUAAGAAACAAAGAGAUGCAGAAGAUCUUUAAGAUCUUCUGAAUGUCUGAUGUAUUGUGCUAUUUCAACUGUAUUCACUACAACUACAGAUGCGAUUUAUCUGAGAUGCUACUUUAUGCUGGGCCCUGUGUCAGGUCUUCACAUGAUAUCUCAUUUGAUCCUCACACGAAUCCUAUUUUGCAGAAGAGGAAGCAGAAACACAGAGAAAUUAUGAAAUUUUCCCAGGACUUGCAAUUGCUAAGAGUUAGAGCCAGAGAGGAAGUCCUGGUGCCUGCAACCUCAAAACCAAGCAUAUUCCUGAGCUGCAAGAGAAUCAAUAGACGUUUCAACAAAAGCAAGGCCAAACAGGACUCCCUCUUCCUUAUGCCUGCAUUUAAGGCCUCUAACAUCUCUUAGAGUCGAUGGCAUUAACUUCACAAGUGUUUCCUAUUGUAUUCCCCCGGGAGGGGAUGUCACCGGGAGACUUACUCCCGAUUUUAAUUAGGCUAUUUAGAUCUUAUAAGCUUCUAUCAAUGUUAAAAGAAAAAGUCCUGGAGUCUCUAUUUAGAAAGAGAUUAAGCCACCUUUACAGAAGGUCUUUUCUGCAACAGCUAUUUCCAUGAGGCCCUGAGAACUCUUGGAUGAUGAUGCUCCUGGCCAUCGAAAAAGCUCCAGACCCUGGUACAGGCAUCAGAGCACUGUCACCAAGGAACCUUCCCUUGAGAUGCAGAAUUGUGAUACGGGCCAGAUAUCACUGACGAACACAUAAAGGAAACCGAAAUGAAAAGCAAGAAAGCCAUUUGUCCAUUGAUAGCCUAGGGACAAUAUACACAUCAUCCUUUUCCUUCUCAAAGGAAGAGACUUGUGGAGGUGUGGGCAGACCUUAGGGCAACCAGCAAAAAACAGUGAGGACUCAGAGACUAGUGACAGGUGUGCUCUUACUACUCCUGGGCCUGAUGGGUCCAGGGGAACGGCCAGGGUUCUGGAGCCCAGUGGGGAAGAACACCUGCCCAGUGGGAGCUGCAUUAGAGUAGGGGUGCAGAGACUGUCUGCACAUCAACUUCAAAGCAGCCCUUGCAGAAGAGGUUGAACAAUCUAUAAAUAGUCUCUUUAUUUCCAAAGAUAAGAAAGGCUAAAAGUGGCUGAUCUGAAACAUCAUUUUUUCUUAUGUUCAGUCCAUUACGGGCCUUUGGUGUUUGAGGGAAACUAUGGUUGAAUAUUUAUCAAACCAAGCAUUAGAGCACUGCAAGCCCUCUAUUCACCAGUCACCUUUCCUUCAACUGUCUGCAGCAUCCAGGAUGCCUUAAUUCAGGUCAAUCUCUCAGUUACCCCAGUUAUGAGCCUCCAGUUUGAUGGAACCAAUUGAGGUGGGCCAGCGCUUUGAAGAGCUGGCAUCUCCUUAUCCUUACUUCUUCAUUGAUUCUGGCUCAGGUUCUCUGCUUACUCAAACUAAACCUGACUUUAGUUCUCAUAAUGAACUUCCUGUAUUUCCGUCAUGCUCAUGCUCCAGUUCACAGCAUGGCUCCUGUCUCCAUCUAUGUUGUUGUUAGGACCGGCCACUUCCCACAGUGUGAUCACUCCCCCACCCAAACAAUAGGAUAUGAGGCAUAAUGUGUGUGGGGGUCCUAUUACUGAGCUGAGCCAAUCAGGGUCUUUUCCUGAAACCUGAAAUGUAGAUGACUGAGUCUCCUCAUGGAUGGUGUGAAUUUAUAAGUUCUCUGUUGCCGUAUUUUUCUAUGAACCAGAAAAGCAGAGGAUGAAAGGUUACAGAGAGGAAGGGAAGAAUGAAGAAGCAAAGAGAGGAUGUAUGAAUAGCAAACAGAGAUGGAGAGAGGCUGAGGACAUUCAAGCCCUGUUUCAUUUGCCCCUAAUUCUUAGCAAAAUAUCCCAGCCUAACUUAGCUGAUCCCAAUGGGUCUCUGCAGCUUGCAUGUAAAAGAGUUCCGUAUAUAUGACUCACCUUCUUUUCCUUCAAGCAUUAGAGCAGGAGAAUUGUCAUGAUAUACUAGAUUCCCCAUGUGGUUUUCCCAGCAUUGUCUCAAAGACAGCCUCUUUUUCACGUGGGGAAAACCAUGGCAUUUUUUUGUAACAUCUUCAUUUGCCCUGGAGCUCGCAUAACAACAUCAAUAAAUAUUUAUGAAGCAUCCACUUACAACAUUGGCCUGAUUUACUGAAGGUAAAACAGGCUUAGUGAGAGGCAAGUGGCCUCAGGUCACACAGCUAGCAGGUAAGUGACUGCACCAAGAUUCUAGAAUUCUUACUGAUUCUCCUUUGUGUAGAUCUAGCCUAAUGGAAGGGUCAUCCAGCUAGUGGUUUACAAACUAAUUUGGUAACCACAAUCAUCCAGUUUCUACCUCCAGAACUGCUUAAUCAGAGAUGUGGAGUGAGGAAUGUAGCAAUGUAUGGUUUUUUAAAGAAAGUUUUUAAGAGUUUAAAAGAGAAAACAUGGCCAGGUACCAUGGCUCAUACUUGUAAUCCCAGCACUUUGGGAGGCUGAGACAGGUGGGCCACCUGAGGUCAGGAGUUUAAGAACAGACUGGCCAAUGUGGUGGAACCUGUCUCUACUAAAAAUACAAAAAAUCCGUCCCUGUCAAUAUAGGGACUCCAUUACUAAGGAAAAAAGGGAGCAUGGGUGUUAGGUGGAAAACUGGCAGCCUUUGCCACAGCCCACUAGGUGCCAGUCACUGCCCUGGAGAUAGUGGUGAAAAGGCGAGGCUGCUGCUCUCCUGGCACUUUUGUUCCAGCAAGGAAACAGACACUAAAUAAACAACAAAUAAAUAGUAGAAUUUCAGGUGGUGAUGGGUAAUGGUAGCAAUUGUAAAUAAGUUGAAAAAGGGGAGGGUCCUCUGAGCAGAUGACAUUUGAGCAGAGACAUGAUGGAUGCACAGGGUUGGAAACAAGCUUUCUAGGAAAAGAGGAUGCACCCACCAGGAACUUUGGGCAGAAUUAUGCAAUGGGCACUCUGGGGGAGAACCACUGAUCCCAAACCUUAAAUCAUUCUACUAUAAAAACACAUGCACACAUAUGUUUAUAGCAGCACUGCUCACAAUAGUAAAGACUUGGAACCAAUCCAAAUGUCCAUCAAUGAUAGACUGGAUAAAGAAAAUGUGGCACAUGUACACCAUGGAGUACUAAAAGGAUGCGUUCAUGUUCUUUGCAGGGACGUGGAUGAAGCUGGAAACCAUCAUUCUCAGCAAACACACACGAACAGAAAACCAAACACUGCAUGUUCUCACUCAUAAGUGGGUGUUGAACAAUGAGAACACAUGAACACAGGGAGGAGAACAUCAUGCACU